rnacentral:lncRNA from 1 species
AUAGGGAGUGGUGAGCAAGACUAUCUCAUCAGACCAUUUGAGCACAUGUGAUAUAUAGAUGCAGGUAAUUAGUUUUUUUAUUUUUUUUAAUUUAUAAAUUCCAAAAUUUCCUCUUAAAUAUCUAUUUUUCUAGAAAAGAAGAAAGAAAGUAGUUGUUUGACAAAAGAAAAAAAGAGGAAAGAAAGUAGUUCAAGUUGGAACAGAAAUUACCCUGCAGUUUCCUUAUGUUUUUUUUUUUCCGUUUAUUCUCUUACUUUUCAAUAUCCAUUUCCUUUAAUUAUUUUUGUGGAUAUGUUUAUGAUAAAUAAAUAAAUAAGCAAUCGAAGUUGGAUUAGUCUUACCUGAUCGACUGGUGACAUGAGCACUAAUUGCAAUCUGCACCCUUGUCCCCCUUUCACGAGAUCGGUUGAAAUGGCAGCAAAAGUCCUUCAAGACCAAAUUUGCAUCAAACAAUUUGGACCAUAAGUUUCCCACCACAUCCCCAUAUAUAUGGUAAAAAAUAAAAAUAAAAAUAAAAAACCAAAUUUGGUAUUUUGGUUUGAAGGUUACAAUAGUGGUAUAAAAUCGUGGGAGCAUUUUGCUCAUUACUUUAAUUCAAAGUUUAUGCUCAUUACGUUUUUCAAUACUUGACACGUGUUUAUAAGCAUAACUUUAGUUAUAAAAAUCAAAGUAAAAAGUUAACUAUGAUUAUACAUAUGGAUACGUGUCAAGUAUUAAAAAGGGUGGUGCAUAUACCUUAAGUUAAAAUAGUGAACAAAAAUAUUUCCCUAAAAUUGUGGGUUGGUGGAAAAUGGAAAAUAUUUACCUUGUUUCAUUUCAUGACGGAGACCUAAAAAAGGAAUGAUCCCAAAAGGGAAUUUUCCUAGAAGCUCCAUCCAUGUACAUGAAAACAUUUCAAAGAUGCUUAACUGGGGCUACCUCAAAUAUUAUCUUUUACUGCAGCUGACUUGUCUCUUUCCUUUUCUUGUAUCCAUUCUUUCCGGAGGACUUUCAAAGUUGAACCAAAAAAAAAGUAUCCUAGUUUUGAUGACUUUGAAACAUGACAACAGGGAUGAGGUUUCAAGGGGGCGUGCAUCUAGACCUUUCAAACAUCAAUUUCCUAAUGCCGACUGAUGAGAUAAAAGUUUUGUGCAUUUGGGAUAAUAAUUUUUUAUUUAUUUUUGUAUAUAUAUAUAUAUCACAAUCACCAAACAAGUCCCAAGGAGAAAAUUUAACCCAACUUGUUGCUUCAUACAAAAAAGGUCAUUCUCAUUCGGGUGCUGAUGAGCUUGGGCAGAGUGAGCACGUCCAGAUAGCAGCAAAAUAGGAUUUUGGCUAAUCAUUUCACAUGAAUCCUGAUGUUUUAUACAAAUAGGAGAGACGUGAAGAAAACCUACCUAGGCUACCUAAGCUAGCUACCUAAACCACAGUCAAACAAUUAGUCCCCUAUUUCUUACUUUCUUUCUGUGUGUUCAUAAAAUGUAUGUGUUCAAUCUUGUCCCAUCCUUUGGUUUUUUCCGAAAACUUUGUUAAAUAAAAUAAAAAAAAAUAUAAAAAAAAUCUGACUAAGUGCUUUCAAAAAGUUGCCAAAGAAAAUUGACCACCGCUUUUUUUGUUUUUCUUUUUUUUUUUGUUUUAAAAGUUAUGAUUCAGAAUUUUAGUGGUUGUGUCAAAUCAGCUUAAAAUUUAGCUUACGUGUGUGAGCCUCUCGUAUAUAUUUAAGAGUAUCAAACACAACAAAUCAAGGCGAAUAAAGUCUGAACACAAUUAUACAUAUGCAAUGCAAAAUAAAGAUAAAAUGAAACAUAUAUCUUAAAAUGUAAUCUAGUUUAGAAAUGAAAUAUGCAAUGCAAAAUGAAGAUAAAAUAAAACAUACGUCUUAAAAUGUAAUCUAGUCUGAAAAUGAAGAGUAGAAUCUCACUUAAUUAACAUCUAUAGCUCACCAUUGAGCAAUGAGUACUAAGGCUACAACUAUUUUUCCACAUCCAUGAGUCCAUGACCUUGUGAGUCUAGUUUCUAGGGGUCAUUUUCUUUGACAUGGAAAAUCGAAGUCCACUUACACCAAAUGGGUCAAGUUUUAAGUUAGUGAUGGAUUGGUAUGAGUGGAAACCGUAGCCAAGUGAACCACGGGUGAUUUGCUCUUGUUAUUGCAAUUUAGUGAUCUAAUCUUCUUCUUCCCUAAUAAGUGAAAUUGAUGAUAAAGUGACAAGUAAUAAUAUAAAACGUAUUGCUCAAGUUUUAUUUGUAAAUCCAAAGCCAUAAGACCCUUGACUUCUUUUUUCCACCCUCAUUUCCUCGAACAUUCACAAAACCAUGACCUCUUUCUUCCCAAAUAAAUUUUUUGGGCUCCAAGCCAUCCAAGCAAUGUCAAAUAUUUUUUUUAUUUCUUUAAAAUCCUAGUUGACAGCUUUGAAAGCGAAAAUACGUGGGAAAUCCAACGGUGGUCCUUGAAGUGGUAAAAAAUUGAACUCACUAUCUCCAACGGCCAUUCAACUACCACGCAGUCUGUGAAUUGUGCCAUUCAGAGGAAUCCACAUGCUGACACGCGGGCAAGCUCCUAUGCGACAAAUGGACACUGAUAUCAUAAGCUGCUGAGGUCACCACAAGUUUCUCUCUGACCUGGCCGCCAUGCUUCAAUUGACCCAUGUGUUAAAAUUCAUCCCAACUUGCGUAGGAUCCCACAAUAAAUACAAUAAUACACCAAAACAAAUAAAAUAUAGCCAACCACAUCUUAUAUUUUAAUAUGAUUCACCUGGCUACUUUUACCUUUUCACCCUCAUAAUUUUUACCCACUCUCUUUCGUUGGGUCAUUUUUAACUUGGGGGCCCAAUUGGCCCCUACUGGUCCACAUUGGUCCUGUGGGACCCAUUGGAAUUGGGUAUAAAAAUGGGAGGAGGCCCCGAGUCUUAGCUUAACCACAACGUGUAGCCACACUUGCACAAACACAAUAUUCCAAGAAGAAAACAGAGACACCACCUCAAUUCUUCAAAUGAAUUACUCAAUCUUCCACUCCCCAAUUUCCGAUUUGUCACCUGAAUCUUCAUUCGGAUCAUCAUUUUCUUGGGAUGAUCACAAAUUUGGCAACAACUCACUUCCCUUCAACGAAAACGACUCCGAAGAAAUGCUUCUCUAUGGCCUAAUUUCCAACGCCACCCAGGAAAUAACAUCAAGAGAAACAGAGACACUCUCUGUUUCUGCAAACCCAAUCAAGGAAGAGGAAGUGAGCUCCACGUCCGACUCGGAGAACCCGAAAAGGGAAAAGUCGUACAGAGGGGUGAGGAGGCGGCCAUGGGGCAAGUUUGCUGCUGAAAUUAGAGACUCCACCAGGCACGGCAUAAGGGUGUGGCUAGGCACAUUUGACAGUGCCGAAGCUGCAGCCUUGGCCUAUGAUCAGGCCGCCUUUUCGAUGCGUGGCUCCGCGGCGAUUCUCAACUUUCCGGUGGAGAGAGUCCGAGAAUCGCUUAAAGAAAUCAACUAUGUCGCUUCGGAUUUGAACGGGGGCUCGCCGGUUGUGGCGCUCAAAAGAAAGCACUCCAUGAGAAGGAAAAUCGGGAACAAGAAGAGCAAAGUGGAGAGAGACGUGAGGAUAGAAAAUGUGGUGGUGUUUGAAGAUUUAGGCGCAGAUUACUUGGAAGAAUUGUUAAAUUCAUCUGAGAGCACAUGUGCCACUGCCACACCUAAUCGUUGAUUCAAAAACAUUAAUUCAACUUUCUUGUGUUCUUCUUUUUUUUUUUUUGGUGGUAAUUAUAUGAACCAUCAUCACUUUGAAAUCUUUGAUCUGUCUCUUCUCCAAUAUUUUCUUUUUUCUGUGAAGUUGCAAAAAAAGGAUAAGGAGUUACGUAUUUAUGUAUCCUGGUGUCUCAUUUGUGGCGCUCAAUUAAUUGAUCCUUAAGGUGAUUAGAUUUAAUAUUCUACUAGUCAACUAAUAUAGCUGGUCACUCUUAUCAUACACAAAAUGACAUUGCCACAUGCACGCGUGCUGUACGAACUCCAAGUUAAAUCACACUUAAUAGUAGUACUUCAAUCCUCACAUCUUUUUGCGUUUGGCUGGUUUUCCAUGAUCGGGAGAUUCUUAUAGUUGUCGUCAUGCAUUGCGUUAGACUCUUAUACAUAACGUAUAAUAUUUAAAUUAUGUGUGCAUUCUGUGUGCGCGUAUAAUGCAUUAGUUAGACUUUUACGUAUCGUGCGUGAAACUUGAAUACAUACCACUCACAUAAACAAGAAGUUUUCUUUCUUCGACGAGGCUACAAAAUUAAUAUUUUCCUUAAUAGAAUAUCAUAUACAUUGGUUGAUGAGCAAGGAGUGUGAAUAUUGUUAUUAUUAUCCUCCAAUGCCAAAGGGGCCAGGCUAUCAAAAUAUCAAGGAUGUAUACAUAUGAUAUGGCCCACGAGCCAUGACCAAAGAGCUGCAACUUGCUUGGUUAGUCCUCAGUUUCAAUCGAAUUAUUUUUGGUUUUUAAUGGCAGUUUUGUCUUUAAGCACUAAGCACUAGUAAGUGUGGACACCUGUAUAAACCUAAUCAAGCAAUUAGCUCGAGCAUUAUGCAAAUCAUAUCAACUAAUUAAAGCUUAAUUAUAUCUCCAAGUAAGUAGUUGUGUGGAGAAGGAGAAGAAGAAGACAAAACUGCCAUUAAAAACCCAAACUUGAACCACUUUGAACACUGUUUUGGUCCAAUUUCAAAGCAAAGAAGCUUCUGCGAGCAAUUCAGUCUUAGUAAUUUGGGUGGACAAUAUCUGCUACUUGCGACUUAUCUAAUUCAUUCAUCCUCGCAUAUAAUAAUACACAGAUUUAAUUCAUUUGAAUAUAUAUUAUCUUCACGUGGGAUCUAAUUUGGUUCUAUAAAACUAUCAUAAAUUGUGACCCUCCUUCCUCCGCUUCUUUUUAAAAUAUUUUUCUGUGGACCACAUGAUUUGUUUUCAAUAUCACGUAUAAACUUUAUUUUUAUCAUUAUAUCAAUAUUUAAAAAAGGUUACAAAUUCGAAUUCUCUUUUCUUUUCAAUAGAAACGAAUACCGCUAUCAUAUUGUUAGCCACAUACUAUGGUAAUUGGUGCGAUAAAAUAUGUAUCACUAUAAUUACAUGAUCAUGCAACGGCUUAAGCGGUUUAGUAUUCUGUCUAUGUCCACAGAGAGUACUUAAUAUUUAAACACAACUAACUAAUGAUAAUCCAUGGGCUGGCAGUACAUGAAUAUUAAUCUUUAAUUAAUUUUUAUUUGACAUUAUCCAUUCACAAAAGACGCUAGUAGCAAUAUUGUAAUUCGCAUGAAUGUUGAUAACCAUAAAUUUUGUCACGUGAUUCUCAAUUGCAACCGGUAAAAUUGAGGGUCAAAGUCCUGGCAGUCAAAAUCCAACCAAGUCAUUCAAGCCGCUUCCACGUCCUCUAGGAAACCUAAUUAAGCAUAAUAUUCAAUGGAAAAUCAUGAUUAGAAUUUGAUUAAGUGAGUUGUUUUAGUACGUAUGAUAUGGUUAGCUCAACUUGGCCACCUUUCAAGAACAGAGGUAAUGGGAAUAUUAGAAAUUCGAUCAGAUUCUCAUUUAACUAGACUUUUUUCAAGAAGGACUUGAAUUAUUUUUUUGGGUUAUCAUGAUCAUUGAAAUUUUACUAGUUCCUGCAAGUGUUGCACUGAUCAUGGAAAAGAUAUUGGGAUGACAUCGAAGGGUUUCCACCCUUAGGUCUAAUCUAACGGAGUUAGGAUUUGUGAAAUUAUGCUUUCUUGACUACAAGAGAAAAGAUAGAUAGAUUCAUCCAACACACUGCAUUUCAGACAUCCAUCUAAUCUGAUGACAAAAAGAUAGAUUCUUAAUUAAAGACGUCAAUGAGAAUAACUCAUGAUUAAAAGGUCGGGUACCACUAACAUACAUAAAUAUAAUGUGGACGGGGCUGGUACCAAAAUGACCGGGGCAUCGUCCUCUUCCUACCCCAGCCACCUCCCGCCGCCAGCCGCCGCGGAUUCGCCGGAAUUUGGAGAUGAAGCGGCCGAUGUCGUCCAAACUUCAAAGCCGCCGAUCUCCCUCCUCCGGCCACCAAUUCCGUCGACCCAGGUAUGGAUUUUGAACCUCUCGAGCUGCUCUAGCUGAUGGUUGGGUAGGAUUAGAUCGAUUCUUAGCGUAGCCAACUCGAUUUUCGAAUUGAAAAUCGGCCGAAACUUCGGCCGCUGUGAUCGGCCAUUUCCGGUCAGUUUUUGGGGUAGGUCCAAGAACAAAAGUGGCUCCAAAUAGGGUGUUCUACCUAGGGUAGGAGUUUGGAGCCGUGAUUUUGAGAUUUUCUGGUGAAGCGUUAUCGCUUUGGGCACCACGCGCUGCCGACGCGUGCGGCGGCGCGUGGGCAAGGUGGAAAAAGUAGCACUGUGUUCCGAUGAGAUCCUUAGGUUGUCACGAGUGUGUAGGAUUUCGCGGAUCUCAAUUCGGACGUCGUUUGACUAUCGAACGGAUAAUCGCAUAUUGUGCGUUAUCCGGGUUCGACAGGUUGGGACCGUUGGAUGGUCCUAAAUUUAAUAUAUGUUAAUCUAGGUAAUUCUAGGAUCGUGUAGGAAUUCACGGAUUGUGAAUCGGAGCCCCGGAUGUUCCGAAUAGUAAUUUUAAAGUUUAUAUUUUAUAUUAAUUGUCAGAUCGUGCGAUCGUGAACAAUCCGACCGUCCGAUCUGAACCAAACUCGCAGGACAAGUGUCCUAUACCUGGUAGAACCCAUAGGGACUUCCGGAUCGGAAAUUGGAGGUCGUGGGUUCCGCAGGCCCGUUUGACCAGGGUUAGAGUAGUUUGACCCUUGGUUGACCGUGAGCCACCCGGAGUAAUCUCACCUCUCCAGGGGAGAUUAUUGGGUGCUAGACUAUUGUGGAGGGUUACACAAUAUUAGAAUUAAUUUAUAUAAUUAUAAACAUAUAUUGUUGCACAAGGGUACAACAGAGUCUAGAAUGUCAGUUUGGAGUGCUAUACGCACUACUUUAGGUACCUCAUCGGAUUUUGGAUUCGCUACAAACACCAUCAAGUGAAGGUUAGGUCCCGCGUGGCGUAGGUUAUCCGGCGUUGGGACAGACCCCAUACGUGGCGUUGGUUGUACCGGCGUAUGGGGAGAUUUGCAAUAUGAUGUUCAGGUCUCACGUGGCGUAGGUUAUCCGACGUUGAGACAUGCCCCGUACGUGGCGUUGGUUGUACCGGCGUACGGGGAGAUUAUGUGAUAUGAUGUUGAGGUCCCGCGUGGCGUAGGUUAUCCGGCGUUGGGACAGGCCCCAUACGUGGCGUUGGUUGUACCGGCGUAUGGGGAGUUAUGUGAUAUGAUGUGCAGGUCUCACGUGGCGUAGGUUAUCCGGCGUUGAGACAGACCCCAUACGUGGCGUUGGUUGUACCGGCGUAUGAGGAGAUAUAAUGAUAGUAUGGCAUGGUCGCACGUGGCGUAGGUUAUCCGGCGUGUUGACAGGCCCCAUACGUGGCGUUGGUUGUACCGGCGUAUGAGGAGAAUAUGUGAAAUACAGAGAAAGGAAAUAAGGUAUCACCGAUGUGUGGAAUUAGAUUUUAGGGAAGAACUACGUGUGGCUUGAUCCCUCAAGGAGGGUACGUAGGCAGCCUAAGGUUAUUAGGUGCAGCCGCAGACUAAAUGUUAGUCAUAAUUUGUAUUUGAAUGGUUUGGUAGUUGGUUAAGAAUUAUUGGAAGGCCGAAGGCCAUUUGUGUGAAUUGCAUGAAAUUAUAUUGUGCAUGCUGCCAGUUGGGAAUAUUAAAUGCGUUUUUAUGCAGGUUGGAAUUUUGAAAAAUGUCCAAUUUAUAGGGGAGACUCUGCCGAAAUUUCGGCAGGACGUCUCGGUUUUUAGUAAGUGGGCCUGGCAUCGGGGUGAUGUCAGGAAUUGCAAAGGGUUCGUCUCGGGUUUUGAGAAAAUUCGGGGCGGGUCCUUAAAGCCGGAAUUGGUUUUUGGCUCCAAAAUCGUGCGACCAGUGGACAUUUCAUCGCGUAAAAUUAGAUGUCGGCUGCAUGUUGCUCGACGGGAUGUUCAAUUUGUGCGAUGCGAUUUGGCGUUUGCGCGACGAAAACUGAUGCAACGAAAAAAUAUUCAUCGUCGCCCUAAAGUUGGAUGUCGACGUGUACUUGCGCGACGAAAAGUUAGACUUGCGCGACGAAAGUGGGAGUUUUGCGCAACAAAAUAUGUUCUUUGCGCAACGAAGUAUCUAUUCGUCGCGCAAAAGUUAGUCUUCUUCAAAUCUGAGUUACGCCAUGGUAGAGGCAGAAAGCUGAGAAUUUCUGCCUCUGCUGCUGCUGCUUAUGCUAGGAAUUCACUACAUUUAGUAGGUGAGUAUAUUUUGUCAUUAGUUUGAGUGUAUUCAUGUAAAUUCAUACUAAUGCUAUUAAUUUCGUUCUUUGUAGAGAUAUUUUGUGUGAUUAGCGGUUGGUGGCACUACUACAAAAAAGAAAAAAGACGACGGUAAAUCACCGUCGUUGUUAAAAUAUACAACGUCAUCAACAAAUACAAAACGACGUCUUUGUACUGCAAAAAGAUUUAAAAAGCCAGUCGAGGAUGAGAAUAGACGACCAACUCUCUAAAAAAACCGUCGUUAAAAAGGAAAAAUUUGACACAUAUUAACAGAACAAGGCCGCAAGAUAGACAUACAACGACGAAAAUUAAAACAAGACGCCGUUAAAUAUCAUUUUCACGACAAUAAAAAAUAUGACGUCUUUAAAUACAUUAGAAGACGACGUUAUUGAUACCUACUACGUCGCCUAUAUAAAAACAACCGUCGUAAAAUAAAUUUUUCACUUCGAUUUUUCUAUAAAAGAUGACAUGGAAAUAGUUGUCAGUGUCAUUAUUUACGACGUAUGUAUUUAUAGAGUAGACGUUGAACAACGAAACAACGUCGGUUACAAAUAUAUGAGAGUCGUAUUACAAAAUUUAUACGUCCUAUUUUCAGAAACAAACAACGACGAUAAAUAUUAGACGUUGUUAAGUAAAACAACGUCGAAAACAAAUAAAAACAGACGUGUUUAGUCUGCUAAAGUUCUAAAAAAUAGUCGAGGAUGAGAAUAGACGACCAACUCAAACAAAUCAUCGUCGUUAAAAGGGAAAAAUAUGACACAUAUUAAAAGAACAAGGCCGCAAGAUAGACAUACAACGACGACAACUAAAACACUACGCCGUUAAAUACAAUUUUUACGACAAGAAAAAAUAUGACGUCUUUAAAUACAUGAGAAGACGACGUUAUUGAAAUCUACUACGUCUCUUAUUUACAAACAACCGUCGUGAAAUAAAUUUUUCACUUCGAUUUUUCUAAAAAAGAUGACGUGGAAAUAGUUGUCAGUGUCAUUAUUUACGACGUAUGUAUUUAUAUAGUUGACGUUGAAAUUCGAAACAACGUCGGUGGUAUUUAUAUAGUCGACGUUGUAUUUAUAUGUAUUCAUUACUCACGACGCACUUAUUAAUAUAGACGACGUUGAACUUCUAAACAACGUCGGUUCCAAAUAAAUGAGAGCCGUAUUACAGAACAUAUAGACGGCAUUGAUUAUGAUGAGAGCCGUAUUACAAAUAACGUCGUUUAAUUGAUAUUAGACGGCGGUUAUAAUGAAUUACCGUCGGAAUUCAUUUCGUUCCUCUUCGUUUAUAAAAGAACUUGCGACGUGGAAAAUGUAUGAUGACGUCGUAUUUUUUAACGUUCAGAUUAUAUAUCUCGUUUUUUAGACGUCGGUAUUAUGGGAUUGGAGUCGUGUUAUUUUGAAUUACAUGGCGGUUCUUAAUCCUUCCCCGACGUGAUAUCCUGAAUAAUUGCUUCACAAUAGCGUCGUGGUUCUUCAUUGUUACGUUGCUUUAAGACGUCGGUAAAUAUGCUGAAUAACUGGUUCACAAUAACGUCGUGUUUUAUUUGAACGUAGAAAGUGAAGAAAUCACAUUACAAUAUAUUACAAAAUUAAUGUCAUACACUGCCAAUUACAUAAGCAUCAUUCAAUCCAUAUAUCUUCACACCCAUCUCGAAUAUUUUGACCACCUAACUCACCCACCAGUUUAUCAAAUGUGUCAACAUUUGGCAUCCCUCUAGUAAAUGGCUCACACUCAAUUAUCACAUCACCUAAGACUUCAUCACCAAUAACAUCAUUAUAUUCUCUAUUAGGCAUUGAUAACACUACCGACCAACCACGAUGCAUCGGGUCGUCAACAAAAAAUAUUUGUUUGACUUGAGAAGCCAAAACAAAUUGGUCAUUCCUAUGUCCAAUUUUACUCAAAUCUACAAGGGUAAAUCCAAGUUCGUCGACUACAAGACCAGAACUAUCUAUCCAAUCACACCUAAAGACUGGGAUUGUAAACUUUUGGUAGUCAAGGUCCCAAAUUUCUUAAAUGACACCAUAGAAACCCAUAUUUGAGAGAAUUGAGUUUUUAUCCUUGGCACUAGCAACUUGCAUGGUAUGUGCAAGUAAAUAAACUCCACUAUUUUGAGUUGUCCGGACAUCAUCUUGUGCCUUGAUAUUGAAUUUAAUACCUUUAAUAAGAUAGCUCCUAUAUAAUGGCACUGCCAUGUUUGGACCAGCUGCUAGCCACCUAAAUUUUCUGAUACGCCAUGAUUGUCUUCCUCAAGUUCACUUUGAACCUGCAAUUAAUCAUAUCUUAUUUCAUCUAACAUAGAAAUAGAGAAAUUAAAGAGAAAUAUGUUAUUCAACACAUUUACCUUGAAGCAUAGCCAUUGAUGAAAGUGCUAUUGUGCUUCNNNNNNNNNNNNNNNNNNNNNNNNNNNNNNNNNNNNNNNNNNNNNNNNNNNNNNNNNNNNNNNNNNNNNNNNNNNNNNNNNNNNNNNNNNNNNNNNNNNNUUUUGCAACUAGAAUUCGAUGUCCGUGCAGGAGGUAUAACAACACGUUGUGGGAGACAAUUGAAAAUGUUCGAUUUCAUUUAGUAAGAAGUGGAAUGAUUGAGACAUAUAGCACUUGAAACUAUCAUGGGGAACAAUUAGACAAAGCUUCCUCUUCAAGGGCCACAAGAGUGGACAAUGUUGAACCUAUUUUGGAUUCUAAUGAACAAGUCAUGGAUAUUAUAAAUGAUGCUUUUCCAUUUGCAUUGACCAACAUCAAUCAAGAAGAGGAAGAUGACAUGUCUACACCAAUGGACAGUGCGGAGUUCGAACAGUAUGAAAAACUGUUAAAAAAUGCAAAUCAAGAGUUAUACUCGGCGUGCGAGAGUUUUUUCGUUCUUAUGGCCAUUGUGGAGCUAAUGCAAGGAAAAAUAAAGUAUCAUAUGUCGAACCAAUGUUUCGAUUACUUUUUGGGCCUUUUCAAGAGAAUGCUUCCGACGGACAAUUGUUUGCCGAAAAACCAUAGACACCCGCAGAAGGUCUUGAAUGGCCUUGGAUUGAGUUAUGAAAAAAUGUACGCAUGCAAAAAUAAUUGCAUGUUAUUCUACAAAGAGCAUGAAACAUUGGAUAUAUGCCCUAUAUGCAAUGAGUCGAGGUUCAAAAUGACUUCUCAUAAUAGAAUGACUAAGAUCCCACAAAAAGUUAUGCGUUAUCUGUCCCUAAAACCAAGGUUGCAACGAUUGUAUAUGUCAACGCAUACUGCCACAGAUAUGAGAUGGCAUAAGGAAAAACGGGUAGACAACGAUGUGAUGCGACAUCCUGCAGAUGGGGAGGUAUGGAAAGAGUUUGAUCGAACGUUCCUCGAGUUUGCUGCUGAUUCCCGAAAUGUUAGAUUGGGACUUGCCACUGACGGAUUCAAUCUGUACGGGGUUCUAAACCAACACCACAGCACUUGACCGAUUUUCGUAUUCCCAUAUAAUUUGCUGCCUUGAAAAUAUAUUAAAAAAGAAUACAUGAUGAUGACUGUUUUGAUAACUGAGGAUCCUGGCAGGUCAAUCGAUAUGUACUUAAGGCCGUUGGUUGAUGAGCUGAAGGAUUUAUGGACAAACGGUGUGCGCACGUUCGAUAAAUCGACUGGGAAGAUGUUCACUUUAUGGGCAAUAGUUAUGUGGACUGUGAAUGAUUUUCCCGCAUAUGCAAUGGUUUCUGGAUGGAGCACAAAGGGUUAUAUGGCAUUCUCUGUAUGCAAGGAAGAUGUAUGCCCAGCUGUCCUCUCGUCCCUCCAACUCCUUCGGAUGGUGGUGCAGGUCGCUCUUCCAUUGCUUGUACCUCUCAGCAAAGGGUCUGUUGACGUACGCUAUCGACUUAUCAUCGAGGUCCUCUACAUUGUAGUUCGUCUGCAAUUUAUUAAUUACAUACAUUAAGUAAUAGAAAUAUAGAAAGUUUGAACUUACAAAACAUUUAAAAGGUAGGAUACAUACCGACAACUGUCCGAGCACCUCCGUCCGCAUCUCCUCAGACAUGAACUUCCAAGACUUCCAUUGCAUAGGGCAAUAGGUCCGAACGACGUGCCCAACGUCGUGGGCCAAAGAUCUAUGCAAUUCAGCCGUUGGUGCAACUGAUGCCGCACGUCGUAUCCGAUGCUAAUACGACUGUUGGUCACUAGGGUGACCUUCGCCGUCUUCAACUGCCGACAAGGUCCACGGGUGUUCUUCUUGGCUGUAAAGAAAUAGAAAGUAUACUGUUAAUAGUAAUCAUACAAAAAUGUUGGACAACAACAGAUGGAGUCAAGGCAAUCUUUACCUGGCUGUGAUCUGACGCACAAGUACGUCUAUCGAUGCUGUGUCACUCAUGCUGGGGGGCGGUGACGACGUUUGGCACGAAGAGGUUGCGCCACAGAUGAUGCAGAUGACGCCGAGGGAUCACGAGGCAACUGCUCCAUCUGUGAUGGAGCAGUGAUAGCAGCAGGCUGAGCCGGAGGAGGCGAACUUUGUCCAGUGGUCACCGCCUUACUGCUUCGAAUAAGGUUUGACAUCUUGGCCAAGGAAAAACAUGUAACAUUUAAUAAUGUUUUAGGCAAAGCAUGUAACGUAGUUAAUCUAAUUGGGUUAACAUGUAACGAAAUAAAAAUAAAUAUUGAAACAACUAAUAAAACAAAAACAUAUCAUAAUUAUUAACAAACAUAAUUUUUUUUUUUUCCAAUUUAACAAUCUUAACUAAUUUUAAUUAAAGCAUAUCUUGUCUGGGGGUUAGCAAUUCCGGAGUAUCCGGGAUUCCGAUCGAAAAUCAAUCGAAUCCAAUACGAUCCUAGAAAUACAUGGAACAACAUGCGUGAUUUUUAGUUUGAUCCAACGGUCCGAACACAUCAAACCCGAAAAUUGCAUAAUAGGCGAAAUCUACUCUACACUGAAACGGUAACCAAAUUGAAAUCCUAACACACCUACGCGCUCGUGACAACUAGGGGAUCGCAGUGGGACACAAUGUCCCUCUGCUACAGUACCCACGCCCCGCCACAUGCGUCGGCAACGCAUGGAGUCCAAAGCGAUAAGGAUCGCAGGAAAUUUCACAAAAUUACAGACCAAGCUUCCUACCCUAGGUUCAAAACAACAAUUGGAGCCACUCUGGUUCUUGGGCCUACCCCGAAAAAUGGCCGGAAGUGGCCGGAAAUUCAAAUAAAAAAUUGGCUGAUUUAUUUUCUACAAAUUCACAUACCAAAACCAAAAAUUCAUAAAACCCUAUCCAACCAUCAGCUAGAGCACAAAAUUUAGUCGAGAAUGCAUACCUCAAUCGUCUAGUUUCGUGGCCAGAGGAGAGAGAAAUUGCCCAACGAAAAUCUGCCCAAUUCCGACGGUGUUGCGGCGGCGGAAGCGGUGUGCUUCGAAGGGGUGGUCGGCGGAAGGGCUAUGUGUGGGUUGAGGAGGCAGGACGUGGCGGUUAUGGUGGGAGGGCUAUCGGGAGAAAGAGGGAGGCGAAGGAAGGAGAUAGACCAAACCAGGGGUCAGUCGUGUUUUUCAGAAAAUUUACAAGCCUUUGAGCGACGAAGACUUAAACCGUCGUGCAACAUAUAUUUUUCUAACCCUUACGCGACAAUAAAGCUAAAACCGUUGCGCAAAAACGUCGUGCCACUCAAAAUUUUGGACCCUUGCGUGAUGAGAAAGGUGAAACUGUCGCGCAAGGCCGUCACCCUGCCCAAAAUUUCACACCUUUGCGUGACAAAAAACACAAACCGUCGCGCAAGGACGUCUGGCCGCCCAAAAUUUCAGCCCCUUGCGCGACAAAAAAAACCCAAAUCGUCGCUCAAGGACCCAAAACCCAAAAAAUUUCAGCCCCUUGCACGACAAAAAAACCCAAACCGUCGUGCAAGGACCCUAAACCCUAAAAAUUUCAGCCCCUUGCGCGACGGUUAAGCAUGAACUGUCGCGCAAGGACGUCAUGACGUUCCAAAUUUCAGACCCUUGCGCGACGACAAUUUAUCCGUCACGCAAAACGGAAACCCUGAUCCGUGAACCCUAAACCCUAAAGCCACAGUUAUACCAGAUAGCGACGAAGCUUCCGUCGUCGCAUAAAGAUAUGCGCAACGAAUAAAUUCUUUCGUCCCGCAAAACAAAUAUGCGCGACAGUUUUCUCCAUUCCACUAACGUGUGCGCGACAAUUUGCCCCGUUCGUCACGCAAAAUUUUUUUAAAAUCAUAUUACUGAAUUCCCUUUUAAAUGGAAAAAAAGUGGAUGUUCCUUGCCAUUAUUUUGAAAAAAUGAUUAGAAUGUGGAUCAUAAGGUCUGAAUUGAAUUAGGAUUGACCAUUUUCAAUUUAACAAAGACUUAAUUACUCAUCCACAACAUAGCCGGUAUAUUAUGUAUACGUAUCAAGUUAGAGUACAUUAACUUGUACAAACUCACCACAAUGUCAAUGAGGCAUAUUGUUUAUAUAAGUAUUGCUAUAUACGUAUAUUUCCUCCAUGUACACACAUACAUUAUAUAGAUGGCAUGCACAUAUAUAUAUUUAUAUAAAAAAAACCUUCAUACUUAUAUAUACAUUAUAUAUUUAUAUUUAUAUAAUUGUAUAACAUAUAAAUUUUAUAAAAUCGUAUUAAUAAAUUCCCAUAAAUAUUUAUAUAUUCUUAUAUUUCUAUACACACGAAAUAUAUAUAUAUAUAUACACACACAUAUACAGUGUAUAUUAUAACUUAGUAUAAUGUAUUAUAUACUUUGUCUAUAUUUAUAUAUAUAUAUAUAUUUGUGCGACGACACAUGUAUUGGUCACGUUAACAUCUCUUGCGCGACGAAAUAAUCCUAUUUGUCGUGUGAAGGUUCCUUGAGCGACAAUACAAAUUUAUUAUACAUUCUCGAUGAGGGUCUUGCACAUCAUAAAACUAACCAAUAUAUUACUUAGUUGGGAUUUGAUAUUACAUAAGCAUGGAUGCGAGAGAAUUUUGAACAUGCUCAAUCACCUAUAAGAGACGGAACAACUACUUGUCCAUACAUAUUGACAUGAGCAGUAAUUUCUUACUAAUAUUGUAGUAUGAUAUACUAUAAGUAAUUGGUCAGACAAGUGCAGUGAAAUGAGUUGCCAACAACUCUUAUUUAUAGCAACUAGCCCAUACUAAACAAGUUUAUACGAAUAGUUUAUUAUGGUCGUGUGAUGGUGGUCGACUUCUUGGAGGGGAUUGUGGAUAAAUUCUUCGAUGGGGUGGUGGCAUACUUCUUGGAGGCGGACUUCUUGGAGGGGGAGGUGGGGGACUUCUUAGAGAUGAUGGUGGCGGANNNNNNNNNNNNNNNNNNNNNNNNNNNNNNNNNNNNNNNNNNNNNNNNNNNNNNNNNNNNNNNNNNNNNNNNNNNNNNNNNNNNNNNNNNNNNNNNNNNNNNNNNNNNNNNNNNNNNNNNNNNNNNNNNNNNNNNNNNNNNNNNNNNNNNNNNNNNNNNNNNNNNNNNNNNNNNNNNNNNNNNNNNNNNNNNNNNNNNNNNNNNNNNNNNNNNNNNNNNNNNNNNNNNNNNNNNNNNNNNNNNNNNNNNNNNNNNNNNNNNNNNNNNNNNNNNNNNNNNNNNNNNNNNNNNNNNNNNNNNNNNNNNNNNNNNNNNNNNNNNNNNNNNNNNNNNNNNNNNNNNNNNNNNNNNNNNNNNNNNNNNNNNNNNNNNNNNNNNNNNNNNNNNNNNNNNNNNNNNNNNNNNNNNNNNNNNNNNNNNNNNNNNNNNNNNNNNNNNNNNNNNACGAUUGUUGGGUGGUGGUGGUGGUGGUGGAUUACUUGGAGGGGGUGGAGGCGAUUUGUUGGGUGGUGGCGGAUUGUUUGGUGGUGGUGGUGGUCUUAGAAAAAUAGGGGGUAGUAUCAAUGUAAUAGCACUAUUAGGUAUAGUACUAGUAGGUGGCUUGAGUUGCUCAUGAUGUUCUUCAGCAAGACAUGAAGUGAUGAGAACCACCACUCCCAGCAAUAGCACAAGAAAUUUUAAGUAACUCAUCUUUGAGCUUAUGAAGUUACAAAGAUCAUAUGGAGCAUCCUUUUAUAGUGGUAUGGGUGAUUGGUAAUUGUAUUUAUAAUUUUGCUAAAUAGGGUGGUUGGUGAUUGUUAUAGAUUAGAGGUCCAUGCAACAUUAAUUGAGAUCAUAAGUUGGAGAAUUUGGGCAGUUGCUUGUUUGAUAUAUGCUAGAGAACGUUCAAAAUGUAAUGCAUAUUGGUUUUUUAUUUAUUUAUUUAUUUAUUUAUAGUAUAAGUGAUAUUAUAAACUACAGGAGAAUGAGAUUUCUCUUAUAUACACACAACUACGAUGUAGGAUUUAAAUAGAAAAACUCAUACUCUUAUCAUUGAGCUAUGAACUAGCAGAUAUUAAAUCUUACUCGUGUCAAAAGAGUUUAGGCUAAUUGCCCACUCUGAAAUGAAUGAGAAUGAGGGAGAUAAAAUUGUCAUAAAAGGACAGAACAAAAUAAUACAUAAGUUUUCUAAAAAUAAUAAUACAUAAUUUUUUAACAAAAAUAGCAACGGGCAUCCUUUUUUCUUCUUCUUUGGUUUGGUCCUCCCGUUCUAUUCACGGCAAUACCACUGAGGUGAUUGAGAAAUAGGCAUUGACAAUAAUACAUAAAUUUAAAGUCUAAACUCCAAGCUUAGCUUAGGGUUAAGUAUCCAAUAUUAAAGUUUAUGUCUUCCCUUGUGCUGCUGGUAGUAUUCAUCCACUCUUCAAAAUAUAGGAAGUAGAGUUGGGGGUUUGGCAUGAUGAGGUGGUGGUGGUGGUCUCACUAUAGGGGUUGUGUGGUCAUCAAAACCCUUUUAAUUUCCACCAAAACCCUGAGAUUGACUUUGUUGGAAAAUUUAAUAUUAACUAAUAUUGAUUUUCCUAUUUGAAUGGAAAUUAAUAAAAUUUAUUGGGUUAAAGACAUGACUCUUGGGUUAAAGACAUGACUCUUGGGUUAAAGACAUCUUCACAUGGGAGGUGACAACUUUUCAGACCAAGGGAUGCAUUGUUUGCCUUUUCAGAUUGAGAUACCUUUUUAGAAAGGGUAUUUCAUCAUCUAUAAAUAGAGCAAUCCUCCUGCAGUUUUAUUCAUUCAUGUUAAUUCUCUACAUACAGACUUUCACAUAUAGAAAGCAUUAGAGUUUUCAUAAAGAGAGGUUCCUGCAUAAUUUGGUUCAAAGUUCCUUGUGAAUUGCAGUGCUUCUUUCACAAGGAGGGGAGUCGUUGUAUCCUGAGAGGUGAACGCUAGUGAACCAUAAGCACCGUUGUGGGGCGUAAUUCGUCUUAAGGUCAAAGUGUCCAACACUUGCUUCGACUCAAUCAAGGUUCUUCUAAUUCAAUUCUCCUUUUGUAAAAAUCUAUUUUAUGUGCAGUAUUUAUUUUGUUUAUUUAUAGCAAUUUAGCACUCAUAUUUCCAACAGACUUGAUUGCCCUUCAAAAAGAAGAUUUCUCUGUAAUCCAUGUGAUAUUUGUGUGAUGAACUAACUCUUAGUCGAGUAGUAUUUAUUUUCCUAAUACAAAAAGAUGCGUCGAAUUGAAACCCUGUUCCUCUUAAUUUCCCCCUCAAACAGUUUGAGGGUAAAGUUAGUCUUAUGAUAUUAUGACUGUAGAGAGCUAGAACCAAGCAAAACAUUUUGUAUAUCUUUUCCUGUUUCUGGGUUUUAGGUUUAGCCCUUCCUUUUUUGGUUCGUUAGGCUCUUGGUUUCCUUUUAUUUUUUGGGCCGACGGAUUGAAUGUCAAAACCCAAAAUAUGUAAGUUCCAUAUACAUUUUCCAAACGAAUCUUAUGAUCUAAAUUGAAGAAUUUUAUGAUCUAAAAUUGUUGGUCGUAGGUAUUUUAUGGUUGGAGCCCUUCUGUUGUUCUUUGGGCUCAAGUUUAUUUACUUAUUUUGGGCUAUUUAUGACUUUUUGGGUCCCUUUCAAUUGAAGGGUCACUCUCAAAUAGAACAUAUUAUUGCUGGAAAUAGUUUUGCUCGUGAAAAAUAAAGAAAUUCGGUUUGCUGGAAAUAGCCAUUGACAAUAAUACAUUUUAAAGUCUUAAACUCUAAACUUAGCUUCGGUUAAAUAUUCCAUUAAUGGCAGAAUGUUAAGGCUAAAAGUGUAGGAAUGCCAGCCAAAGGGUAUUAUUAACUAGGGCUGGCAAUGGGUCGUGUCGUGUCGGGUUCGUGUCGUGUCGGGAUAAUAAACGUGUCAAGAAUGCUCAACCCGAACCCAACCCAUUUAAUAAACGUGUCGUGUCGGGUUCGGGUCGUCUUUUAUCGUGCGGGUUUCGAGUCGUGUAACGGGUUCAUAAAGAAUAACAUGCAUGUUACAAAACUCACAACCGAAAAAAUUUUAAUUAAAAAAAACAGAGAGAGUGGAGAAAAUAUAAGGAAAAGAAAGAAAGAAAAAAGAUAGAGAGAGGAGAGAAGAGAGAAGGAAAAGAAAGAAAAAAAAAUAGAGAGAGAGAGGGGGAGAGAGAGAGAGAGAGGAGAGAAGAGAGAAGGAAAAGAAAGAAAAAAAAAUAGAGAGAGAGAGGGGGAGAGAGAGAGAGAGAGGAGAGAAGAUUGAAGGAAAGAAAGAAAGAAAAAAGAGAGAUGAGAGAAAACUAAAGAGAAGGAAAAAAAAAGAAAAAAAAAAGGAGAGAAGAGGAAAGGAAAAGAGAAGAAAAAAAAAAGAGAGAGGAGAAGAAAGAAGGAAAAAAAAGAAAAAAAAAAUGGAGAAGAGAGACGGAAAAGAAAGGAAAACUCAAAAGAAAAAGAAACAUUAUAAAUAUCAAAAGGCAUACCAUAAAAUCACAAAGUUAGUUGUAGCAUGGUGGAUAAGUUGUUUGAGAAAAUGAGGAUGGGAGGGGUUCGAAACCCCUUGUGUGUGUGUUGAAGUCUCCAUUUGUCUUUAUUUUUUAGCGGGUUAGAGGGUUGUACACGGGUUGACACGACCCGUGACACGACCCGUUUAAUAAACGGGUUAGAUAGGUAUUAUAGCGGGUUAGCGGGUUGACUCGAAACCCACCCGUUUAUUAAACGGGUCAGAACGGGUUGACCCGAAAUUGACCUGUUUUUUUAUUGUGCGGGUUGAACCCGCUAAUUUCUCGUGCGGGUUUCGAGUCGUGUAUCGGGUCGUAUCCGAAAUUGCCACCCCUAUUAUUAACUGCGUCCAAGAAGCAUACUAAUAUCUUCUUUAUACGUCUGUGAGUCAUUAGUGAAUCUUAAUUGGUAUCAUGCUUUAUGCAUGGUUACUUACUUUGAUAUUCAAGGAGUAGAAGAAAUAAAUUUAUUGUGGUGUGGUAAUUUAAAUCAUGAAUAUAUAUAUAUAUAUAUAUGCAUGGAGCUUCCGUUAAGCGAUUCCUUAAAUAAGUUUAUUUGAGAUACACUCUUGUAGGGCCCACCAUACAUUGUAAUUCAUUAAUCCCAAUCAUCUUUGAAAAAAAUCACUUGAAUCCGAUAUCAUUUGAUCACUCAAUUAAAUUAUUGAAAUUUUAAUAAUUUCUUGACGCACCGUGUUCAUUGAUUUUGUAGGACACAAUUAGAUGUCUAAAUGGUUUCUGAUUUAUGUAAUUUUUUGCAAAGAUGAUUUAUAAAUGAAGAUUUCAAAAAUAGAUGGUUUGGAUUGUUAGAAAAAUAUUCGUAGGAUACCCUAAAGGUUCUACUUGAAAUAAAAUUAUUUGAGGGAUCUCUCAAUAGAAGGAUUGAAACACCUGAUUUGCACUAUCUCUGGAGCAAGACUAUUACAACUUGUUAAUUCAAAUUCAACAGAUUUACGCUAUAUACAUAAUUGUAAUCGUAAUCAUAUGAUUCAAACUUGAAACCCCAUUCAACUAAGUGAAUACAGCUACCCAUAAAAUCAUAAACUAGUUGAUACCAUAAUUAUUUAAUAUAAACAAAUUUUGAAUCCGUAUUUUCUGUUUAGUACCGUGCCUUUAUGCUGCUUUGUUCAUAUACUUGUAGUCUGCUAGUGAUGAAAAUGUUUGAGAUUAAAUUUAUUGAAGAUUUCCUGAUUUUGCUAGUUCUGUUUGCCAACCGAUUAUAAUUCUUUGUAUGUUCUGAAACCUUUGUUCAACAUGGUGGGUUUUAUAAUUUAGAAUAGAAGCUUAAAUUUUAUGAAUAAAACUUACUCACUUGGGAAAUAAUUGUUUUUUAAACAAAGAGAAUCUGAACAUAUGCUCCCUCGGAUACAAAGCAAAUUAGAACACCAACUUGUCCAAACAUAAUGAUGAUGACAUGAGCAUUGGUUACAAACACUAAUAAUUAGUUUAUGGUCAUUAAUUUGGAUGAAUAUGUGGUGUUGAGUUUGGGGUGUGGGGUUGUCUUGUAGUAUGGGGGCAGCUUCUAAUUAUAUAUGGAGCUGGAGUGAAUUUAAUAUAUAUCUUUCCCUGUGCUGGUAGGAUUCAGGACUCUUCAGUAUAGGAGGUAGAGUUGGGGGUUUGGCAUGAUGAGGUUGUGGUCUCACAAUGGGAGGUGAAGAACUUGGUGCUUUUUUUAAUAUAAUAUAAUUAUAAAUUAAUUUAAUUUACGGAGAAGGGAAUUUGAGCUUCAGUGCAGGAGGGGCCGGCUUACUAUCCUAGCCAAUUGGCUUACAUCUGUAAAGAACUUAUUGAUUUGACAGGUGGCUCUACUAUGAGAAAAACUUAUAUGAAACAGGGAUAUCACGGUUUUGCUAUCCCUAACCAAUUAUGCUAUGCCAAGUGGAAAAGUUAUCACGUGUGGCAUAGCAUGAUUGAUAGAGGAUAGCAAACCAGUGCUAUACCCAUUGCACAUAAGCAAGGUCUAAAAUAUCGAGAAAAUAUUGGACUCGUUCAAGGUUAAAGAAAACUUAAAAAACAUUAGCCUCUCUCUCUCUCUCUCUCUCUCUCUCUCUCUCUCUCUCUCUCUCUCUCUCCUUGCCGACAACCAACCUUUCUUAAGCUAGGGGAGGUGUCCACUGCCGCUCCUCCCCUCUGCCCAUCUUCUCCAUUCCUAUCCUCUCUCCCAUCUUUUUCCAUUCCUCUCAUCUUUUUUCUCCCUCUUUCCACUUUCCUUAGGGCUCUUGCUGGCCCUUAUCUCCCAUUCCUCUUCUCCUCUCUAGAUAUACUUAGAUCUUGGGCUUUUAGCCUUGAUUUAUUUGGAUCUAGGUAUGUUUGUGUGUUUUUUUUGUUUGGCUAUUUUUGCACUGUUCUAGGUGGCUGGUGUUGUCUUCAUCUCGGUGGCUACAUGUAACAUCCCACAUCGACUUACGAAGAGGGGAUGAUGUGACUUAUAUGUACAUGCUCACCUCCAUCUAGCACGAGGCCUUUUGGGAGCUCACUGGCUUCGGAGUCAUGAGAACUUCGAAGUUAAGCGAGUUUGGGCUAGAGUAAUCUCAGGAUGGGUGACCCAUUGGGAAGUUGCUCAUAAGUUCCCAGAAACAAAAAUCGUAAAGGCAGGGGGCCCAAAGCGGACAAUAUCGUGCUACGACCGAGCCGAUCAGGAAUGUGACACUGCAACAGUAGUGACGCUGGAUUGGGUCUCUCUCUUUAGGAGAGUUGGGAUACUUGGUGACUAAUAUUUUGUCUUUGUUUCAACGAUCGCGGCAGCAUCGACGCUGGUUGUAGUUGUUGGCAUGUGGUGGUGUGCCCUCUGAGGGGUUUCGUCUUCUGUUUUAGCAUAUGUUUUGUUGUCAUUUUCCAUUGUUUUGUUGCUCAUUUGCAGCUUGUCUCUACUCUGUGCAGCCCAAAGACCUAUGUUUGGUCAUAUGAGUUCCUUUGUCAUGUUCUAAGUUGAGUUGGAGUGCUUUUAAGAGGCCUCUCUUAUUAUUAUUUCAUGCUCUUCAACUGUGUGCUUUCUUGGGUUUCUGUCAUUUGUGUGUUUUUGUAGUUCGUAGGCAGUUAAAUGACUAUGAGUUUAUCUCAUAAAAGGCUUCUUUUGACAAUUGGGAUGCGAUGCGGUUCUCUUUAUGGGUCUAUUGUGUUAGUGUUUAAUUGAUUUUUUUUUUUCUGUUCUUGUAAUGGUCUUUUGUGGUUCAGGUCUUAGUCCUUGGCAUGUGUAGUACUCUUUCCUAUCCUAGGGUUUGUCUAAAGUGGUUUUCCUAAUAAGGUUUUAAUUAGGCUAUUGUAUUCAUACUAGUCUUUGUAUGCCGUUUUGGCUUAUUAAUGAAAUCUUCUUCUAUAAAAAAAGGUCUAAAAUAUCAAGGGUUUAGGAAAUAUCGGAGGUCCAAAAAUACGGAAAUAUUGGGAAAUUAUCGAUAUCGAGAAAAAUUGAAUAAAAACCACUGAAACUGUAAGAAAAUUUUGAUUCAAACUUUAGAGGUUGUUUAUUUUGUCAAUUAUCUAUUAUUUUGAUUUAUUUAAGUUGAUUAUAUAGCGAGCUAACAAACAAUAUGAGUGCAGAAAAUAUGUAGUAAUUAAUGAAAAAAAUUAAAUGCCCAUAAUCAUUUAUUCAUAAUGAUUUACUAUAAUAUUUUACACUUUAUAUAUUGCAUGGUAAGAUGCACAAGUGACUUAGUACCACAUAGAGUUCCUAUGAGGUUCAAAAUUUUCAUUGUCUUCAUCGUCUCUAUGUGUAGAGUACGUGUACUAUGAAGAGUAGUCAUCAAAUGGUAAAUUCCCAAAAUAGCUUUGCAUGUAAUUGUUAACAUGUCACCCAUAAAGAUCCAAGAUUGGUUGACGUUGCCCAUAAGCAAAAUCAUUUGAAGAUUGGGCAUCAGAUUCUUUUCAUGAGCCGCUUGAUUCUAUCCCAAAAGGCAUGGGAUACGAAGCAUAAGGAAAGAGUUGGUUUUGCAUAUAAUAAAGUCAUUAGCAGUGUGGAGGAUAAGGCAUUGGAGGAAGAAUUGAAGUGGCACGGGUUCGAAUCCCCAUGCUUACACGCGUACAAGCCUUUUCAAUUUUUUUUUUUCUAUUCCAUGUCCAUAUUGCAUUAUUAUCACUAUUAUCACGAUAUUUUGAGCAAAUGUUGAUGUUAAUUGAAGGAUAUUAUUAGUGUCGAAAUUUUCCCAAAAUUUUCACGAUAUUAUCUAUAUAUAUAAAGCAAAAGGCAGAGAAUGGUGAAACAUUCAAAAUACCAGAAAAUGCCCUUGGUUAAUACAAACAUUAAGAAUUGAAAUUAUUAAUUAAAUGAGGAUAAUAUGGUAAAUUCAUAAUUUUUCGUAUUAAAAAAAUUAAAAUUAAAAGAAAAUUCAGAUAAUAGGUCCUAUUUUUAUGGAACACAAAUAUCCAUUAUCUUUUUUAAUUCUAAAAUAAAUUUAAAUUUUUUUUAAAAAAAACCUCUCGCAUGCGCGGAAGCGCGUGUAGAGAGGCUAGUCUAUAUUUAUAUGAUAAGUACACAGAUCUGUUCCAAAAUAUCCCCUUGCCGAAAAACGAUAAUAUCCUCAAUAUUUCAGCGAUAUUAUCGAUAUUUCAGUCCUUGCACACAAUUAAGUUUCUCCUCUACUAUAGCACAAUCUCCAAACAAUAGCACACGCAACUUUGAGAAACUUUUGAAAGCAAUUUUCCAUCAAAAUCCUGAUAUUGAUUUGAUUGCCCUCCACAAGAAAACAUUCUAUGUAAUCAAUUUGACACGUGUGAUCAUAUUGCCCUUAAUAUAUUAGUACUUUUUUUCUUCUUCUGAAAACAAGAAGAGGUUUCAAAUUUAAAUCCCUUUUCCGUUAAUUUUUUUUUAAAAAUGAUGUUGGUGUAGUGCCUAUUAAAGAUGGCUUGGCGGUAAAGUUAGUCUAAUGAGAUUCUAAGAUAUAGAUGGAUUGUUUAGUUCAAGAUUUAGGAGCUUAGUAAUUGGUAUGAAAUUGCAUUCCCAUAUUUGGUAAAUGCAUUUUUUAGAAUGCAAUACCUAACUCAUUAGUAUGAAAUUCUCAUGUAGAGAGAAUUUCAUACCUUUAGUGCUCCUUGGGAAACUCUUCGUCUAUUGACCCUUAAAAUAGGGUCUAGUCUAGUGGAAAAGAGCAUUGACUUGCAGGUCAGUUGUCUCAUGUUUGAAUCUAGAUGGCACUUUGGAUGUGAGAAACCCUUUUGUAGGACUUAGACUAUCAAUAAUAUUAAAAUAAUACUAAUAAUAACUCAAGGGUGUUACUGAAAAACUGAAAAACUGAAAACUGAAAAACUUUUCAUUUAUAAUACUACACGAACCACACAUAGGAAUGCGAGAAAAUGGCUUUUCCUAAUUCUCACUUCCCAGCGUUCCCAAUCAUGGGAAUGAACAUCCGUCAUUCCCAUAUCGUAGGAUUAGACAUGGAAAUUUCAUUCCCAUGAAAUUUGCAAACCAAACGGGACAGAGAGUUGGAACAAUGCAAAGAUUUUGUUUAUCUUUUGGUUGGGCCAAUAAGUUUCUGGGCCUCCAUUUAUUGUAUCUGGGCCGUUAGAUUUCGGCCUCCCUGUUCUGUUUGUAACCCAGCGGAGGUUGGAGCGCUUUUCUUGUUCUUUGGGCUUAGUUAUAUUUCCUUGUUCUUUGGGCUAUUUCUAAAUUAUUUGGGUUGUGCCUUUUUCUGCGUUUGACGUCGUUUAAUGUUUAAUUUGUUUGAUUUUUGAGUUGGAGCUGGUUGGGUCCUUCUCAUUUGAAGGUAGGGUCAGUCUCAAAUGGAAAAUAUUAUUGCUUGAUGUGAAAAAUAAAGAAAUUCGGUUUUGUGGGCUUAUGGCCUAAAUUAAUUGAGGAAUAAUGCCAUUCAAAAGACUGAAUUAACAUGACCCACAUUUUUCCAUCCUGGAAAACUUGUUCCUUAAGCAGAUCAUGGCUACUGAUGAAGUAAAGAAGAAAGGGAUGCUUAAAAAGAGAUAUAUAUAUAUAUAUAUCAAAUGAGCCAAGAAUUAAUGAAAUUUUGUAAAACUGAGAUUACUGAAUUACUUGAAAAAGGAAUAAUCUGUAAGAUUAGUCACCCUGGUCUUGUCCUGCUUUCUAUGUCCAGAAAAAUGCUGAAUUAGAACGCGGAGUCCUAAGAUUAGUCAACCCAAGUGGCUGGUUUAGAUUUUCUGAGUCAAAAGAGUCUUUGAGCACAGCUUCAAGAAAGUCACUCCAGUUGAAUUAUGAGAUUCCUAAAGCCCAUGUCUGUCAAAAUAAAAUCUGUUUUAAGACUUCUUUUGUCUUAGUUAAGAACAUUACUGAUGAAGUCAUCCUAGGUUUAUCCUUUAUUGCCCUUUUAUAUCCUUUCCAGGUAGAACACGAUGGAGUCAUUUCCACCUGUUUAGGAGAAAAGGUUAAGUUUGAAUUCCUUAGUAAACCAGAGUUACAUAAUUUAAAAGAAUUACAAAAGAAUGCAGUCACUAAAACAAUCAGAGUCAUUCAAAAUAAAGAUAAGCAACUAAAAUUCCUCCAGGACGAAGUUAAAUAAAAAAGAAUUGAGCAACAGCUUAGUCAUGAGUCUUUACAGUCACAAAUUCGACAGUUUGAAGAAAAAUUAAAACAAGAAGUUUGUUCUGAGUUGCCCAACGCCUUUUGGCAUAGGAAACAGCAUGUAGUCAGCCUUCCUUAUGUCAAAUCCUUUAGUGAGAAAAAUAUCCCCACUAAAGCCAGACCAAUUCAAAUGAGCCAAAAAUUAAUGGAAUUUUGUAAAACUGAGAUUACUGAAUUACUUGAAAAAGGAAUAAUCCGUAAGAGUAAGUCACCUUGGUCUUGUCCUGCUUUCUAUGUCCAGAAAAAUGCUGAAUUAGAACACAGAGUCCCAAGAUUAGCCAUUAAUUACAAACUGCUUAAUACUGUUUUAGAAUGGAUUAGAUAUCCAAUCCCCAAUAAAAGAGAUUUAAUUAAUCGUUUAGAGAAGUCAGUCAUCUUUUCUAAAUUUGAUAUGAAGAGUGGAUUUUGGCAAAUCCAAAUUUGUGAGUCUGAUAGAUAUAAAACUGCUUUCGUUACCCCAUUUGGUUAUUAUGAGUGGAAUGUUAUGUCAUUUGGUCUUAAAAAUGCACCCAGUGAGUUUCAAAAUAGAAUGAAUGAGAUUUUUAUUCCAUUUAAUCACUUUUCCAUAGUCUAUAUUGAUGAUGUACUUAUAUUUUCUGAGUCAAUAGAACAGCACUGGAAAAAUUUGCAUAAGUUCUUACAAAUAGUCAAACAAAAUGGAUUAGUCGUAUCUGCUAAGAAAAUUAAGUUAUUCCAAACUAAUGUGAGAUUUCUUGGGUUUAAUAUCUGUCAGUCACAGAUUAGCCCCAUAGAUCGAGUUAUCCAAUUUGUUGAUAAAUUUCCUAAUCAAAUCCUAGACAAAAGUCAACUCCAGAGAUUUCUAGGAUCUCUAAAUUAUGUUUCUAAUUUCUAUAAGAAUUUGAGAAAACAAUGUAAGCCUUUAUUUGAUCAUGUAUGGAGACGUCUAAUGAUAAGAGGCAACUGGAAGAUUAGACGGAGCAAUAUCUUGGAAGGGAUCAUGACUGGAUAUUAGGGCAGACUGAAAACUGGGGCGAACCUGGCCGACUGUGGCUCCUAGGUUGGCAAAUCUGUUACUAAUUUGGAUGGGAGAAAAUCCCUGAAAGGGGAGGAUCUGAGCAGGUGACUCUUGUUUGGCUUGACUCAUUGAUGGAGGGAGGACUCGGAGUGACUGGGGUUGACUAGACUGACCAACUUGACUCUUUUGCUUGUCUUUUUCUUUUCUUCUUUAUGCCAUUGUUUUCCCUGCAGGAAUUCUCUAGUAAGAAAAUCAGGGACAAAAUAUAUAUAUGGAGUUUGAGUUGAGGGAUCUCUCAAAUAAGCUUAUUUGAGAGACAACUUGUAGGGUACACUCUUUGUUGUAUUUCACUAAUCCUAACCGUCUAUUUUUUAGAUAUUCAUUCAAAGAUCAUCUCUACAAAAAAUCACUUGAAUCCAAUAUCAUUUGACAAUUCAAUUGAAAUAUUGAAAUUUUAGUAUUUUCUUGAAGCACUGUGUUAAUUAAUUUUGUAUGACACAAUUGAAUAUUGAAAUAGUUUCCGAUUUGUCCAAUUUUUUUUCAAGGAUGAUCUAUAAUUGUAGGCUUAAGAAAUAGAUGGUUUGGAUCGUUGAGGGAUCCCUCAAAUAAUCUUAUUUAAAAGACACCUUUGUAGAGCUCACUCCACAUUGUAUUUCACUAAUCUAAACCGUUUAUUUUUUAGAUAAUCAUUCAAAGAUCACCUCUACAAAAAAUCACUUGAAUCCGAUAUCAUUUGACAAUUCAAUUGAGUUAUUGAAAUUUUAGUACUUUCUUAAACUACCGUGUUCAUUGAUUUUGAAGGACAUAAUUGGAUUUCGGUUUCUAUUUGUCAAAAUAUAUAUAUAUUGAACUACUUUUUGUUGCCAUUGUCUGCUGCUAGAUUCACACACACAUAUAUAUGCUCUUCCAUUGAUGAAGCUGGCAUUAUAUUUAUAGUGAAUUUCGUGAUGUGGAUUAUUGUGUUUGCGGACCAAUCAUUCUCUGUAUGUUGUGAAAGCUUUGUUUAUCAUGGUGGGUUUUGUCAUUUAAAAACAUAUACAAUGUCAACCAACCAAUUUUACAAUAUCAUAAAACACAAGUAAUAGUAUUACUGCAGUUGGAAAUUGAUAUUGCAUACAUAUAUAAAGCAAGAAACAACAUGCUCAAUCAGCCACAAGUGAAGAAACAACUUGCUGAUACAUAACCACAUGACAUGAAAAUUUCAUGCAAAUAACUAGUAAUUAUAAUGGAGUCACACUAGAAGCUGCUGCAAAAUGAGUUGGUGUCCAGAACUCUUAUUUCUAGCAAGCAACUGGCUCUCUCUCAUUUAUUCUAACUCACUAGUUGAGAUGGACAGGUGGAGUUCAGGGCUUCUGGGGUGGAUUGUAGUAUGGGGGAGGCUUCUUCUUAUAUGGAGUUGGAGGAGGAGGAGGUUUCUUCCCUUCUGGCUUUUGUGGGGGUAGAGGAGCCUUGAUUGGAGGAGGGUGUUUAGGGUAACUAGGUGUGAUUGGUUUCACAACAGGAGGUAGAGUUGGUGUCUUAGGAUAAGGUGGUGGAAGUGGCUUGGUCACCGGCGUAGGUGGCGGUGAAUGUACAAUAGGAGGCUGAGUGCUUGGUGGUUUGCCAUAAGGUGAGGAUGGUGGUGGCCUCACCACUCUAGGAGGCAGAGUUGGUGGUUUGGGUUUGGGCACUAUUGGUGGUGAUGGCUUGUUAUAAACUGGGGGUGAUGGCUUCUUGAUGGGAGCUGGGGGCUUGUAAAUAGGAGAAGGAGUUGGUGGUUUGGGUUUGGGCACUAUUGGUGGUGAUGGCUUCUUGAUGGGAGCUGGGGGCUUGUAAAUAGGAGAAGGAGUGGGUGGCUUGGGUUUUUCAUUGUACUCAGCUAGAGAUGAAGUGAUGAGAACCACCAGGCCAAACAAUAGCACAAGCAACUUUGAGUAACUCAUGGUGUUUGUGUUUUUGUGAUGGUAUAAGAUCUAGACGGCAUCGUUUGCUAUUUAUAGUGCUCUCAGGCCUGUGUCGGCAAUACGUGUCAAAAGAUCUUGGUCAUUUUGUUUCAUAGUUAACAGUCAAGGAUUUUCAAAUUCAUGAGAAGAAAAGUACGAUUUUUUUGGCUGAAUAAAAGUUUAGAAGAGGGGAGGCUACACCAUCUUAGAGUUAGGACAUAUCAAAGUUUUCUUGAGGAUUUACAGAGGGGGUUUUAGUCUUUUUUUUUUGUUUUUACAGAUUAUCCCCCAAAAAGAAUUUUCGGCAACAGAACCCGAAUCUAAGUCUUGAUAGCAAAGAGAAUGAUCCUUAUCAACUCAACCAACCCUCGUUGACAGAGAAGUAAGAUUUUCAAUUGGUACGGAUGAUUGUUGAUAUAAGUGUUGUUGAUAGAGAAUCCCAAGUAUAAAUGGUAAAUUCUCUUAAUCAUUUGAGCAACAAAUUCUUUAUAAGUAAUUUGACUGAUUGAUUAUUGAUUGCAAUAAUGGUAAGUGUAAAUAAAAAUUGAGUAGUAUUUAAUGGAAAAUGACAUGACAGUAUUUUACUAGUUGAAAAUAGAACCAAGUUGUCGGUGUAGAUAAAAACAAAUGAUUCAGUCUUCCAAAAUGUGGAGAUUUGAAUUUGUGUUCGUCUAGCAUUAAUCUUUUAAAAAGAUUUUGGAUUUUUAUGUGAAUUUAAGUUAAUUUGAGUCUACAUUAUGCGUUCCAUGGUCUAUAUAAUUUAGACUGGUUUAAUUUUCCACAUUGAAUGACUUUUGUAUGUGGACUUUUCCCCCCAUCUUUCUUUAUUAUUGUCCUCUCCUCCGUUGUCGUUAGUUUUGUCACUUAUCAUCCUUGUGGUGUGAUGAUAAUUGGAAACGAGUGUUUCUAUUCUCGUUUCCCAAGCUAUGUUAUUAAAAUCUAACAUGAUUUGCAAAGGAUUCAUUAGGGUAGUAAUUUGGAGUAUUUAUUUCCUCAGGUAAGUUCUGGGUUCGAGUCGUAGUAUCUGUGUAGUGUGUGAGAGUUUAGCAUGCUAUUGCCCCUCUCAAUAGGAAAGGUCCUAAAAAAAAUCUAACAUGGUUUAUAUUGGUAUCAGGACUCUUCCAAUGGGACUACUGAGGGAACUGAGGCCAAGCCAUUGAUAUGUCAGCUUAGCGUUAAUGAAGAAAUAAAUAUAUUUGCUAACCAAGGUGGUAUGGGACUAGUGUGUAAGUAAAUGCCUUCUUCAUUGGGCUAGACUCUGUUAGCAUUAGGCAUUAAAACUUAAUAUCUCUUCCAACGGUGAAAAAAGAUGUAUCACUGAAUCACUAUAGGUACGGUAUUAUUUCACUUUCAUCUUUUACUAUCUAUUUUCAACGUACUAUAUCACUAUUGGAACAAUGCAAAAUUUCUGGAAUCAAUUAGGGAACAAAGGUGUGAAUAUUAUAUCUCCGUUCCCUUUUGUAAUAAAAUAUGUAUAGAGUUGAGCAAUGGUCACAAAAUUCGUUGCUUUCCAAUAGAUUGCUAUUUCAUUUCUGGUUAAAUCGUCUUGUAGUGGAAAAAACUGAGUCUUCAGCAGCCGCGUUUCUUGAUUUCUCUCAUGGAUUUGGUGAAUUUGAUGGCUGCUUGCGGACCAAUUAGCCGAAGGACAUGUGCUCUCUAUCUAACCCCGUCAUAGUCUGUAUAGCUCUACCUAAAAGGUAAAAAUCAGAGAAAGGAGAGAUCGGACUUGCGACCAAAUAUAUAGUGAGACACAUUACAAGAUUCUUGAAAGAUCUUGAGCCUCUCGAUCUAAAUUGGUUUUGAUUUGGAUGUUCAUAUUUUAUAUUCUAUAUAUAUAUAAUAACGUAAUAUAUUUACUAAUCUUGUUUUUACAGAAAAUUGUUAAGGAUUAUUGCAAAACGAAAGUGUAUUUGUUUAUUUGUUUGGGUUAUUCCCACAAUGUUCAUCCCACCGCCGCGUAUUUUGCUUUCUCUAUAGUGGUUAGGUCCAUUCACGUCAAUAUUAUAUUCAAUCUAAUUUUAGCUUUCAAUUACCAGUGUCCACUCGGUUUUCUUGACGUUUUGAUGUCAUGUAUUGGACCCGAAUAUCGGAUAUCAUCUGUCUCUUCCGCUGAUGAAGGGAUAAAUGCCAUCGAAUCAGAAGAUCUUACUUUUCCAAGGGGGCUUUUCUCUUGUCUCCUCCCAAUCUUCGUCGACUAAGAUCUUACUUUUCUUUUUCUUCUUUUAUAUUUCUACCUUCUUAAUCACUGUACGAAGGGAGAAUUUAUCAAAAAUAGCUAAAAUUUGACUCUUAAUUUCAAAAAUGUUAAUUUUUGUAAAAAUUUCAAUAUAACAGAAAACUCACUUAAAUAGAUACAAAUGUCCUUAAAUUUAAAACUUACAUAAACCUAAAAAAGAAACCUUAUUAAAUAAAACUUUGAAAUAUUUCCUCCAAACACUUUUCCAAUCACCUCUAUUUCUUUUUCUCUUUUUUUUUCCUUCUUCCGUUUGUCUCCAGCAUCACUCCCUCUCUUUUCCUUUUUUUUUUUCUUUCUUCUUCUCUCCACAUAUAUAUAUAUAUAUAUAUAUAUAUAUCUAUCUAUCUAUCUCUCUCUCUCUAUCUCUCUCUCUCUCUCUCUCUCUCUCUCUCUGUGCAUAUCUCUAUUCUUCUUCUCUCCCAUUUUCUCCAAAUAAAAUGUAUGUAUUUAUUUGGCAAAAAAAAAAGUAUUUAGAACCAAAAAUUCAGAAAAUGAUUGAAUCAAUGCACAAGUAUAAUUUCCUCCUCUCACCCAAAAAAAAAUAUUUAUUUCACAUAACUUUAAUUCUUCAAAAACUGUCACAAAUUUAGAGGUAGUCUGUAGAACAAAAAAUUCAAUAAAACGAUCUACAUUAAAAAAAUAUAUAAUUAAAUAUUCAUUCAUUACAAUUCAUAAAGUUAAAGAGAAAAAUAUUACACCAGUCCGUCUAUGAGGUAGGAUGAAGUGCAAUUGAAUUCUUGGAAGUUUGUCAAUAAUGGCCAAUUGAACCACAUCUUGAACACUUACGAGUUGAUGGUUCUUCUCCUCGUGAUGGGAUUCUCUUUUCCUCAAGCCUGCCGUGCCUUCUUCGUGUAAUUGGUGGUAGCACAAUUCUAUCUCGUACAUCAUCAAGCACCACCCAAUCUGUUUGAUCCCCAACUAGCCAUAUAGAUUCUGCAUCCGCAAUUACCAAUGAGUUUGUAGUAUAAUAUUUUGAACACAUUGGGUAGCACGAAAUUUGUCAAUGCGUACAUGCAGCACAAGCAUCUUCUGCUACACAUAUGUCAGAAUCAUCAUAUUACUAGACUCAAUAAUUUUCCAAGCCUAUCAGCACUAACCUUUGAUGCAGGCUCAAAGUGAAUUGACGAUAUUAAAUCAUAGCACUUUGAAUAGGGCUCAAGAGUCCAUUAACAGAAAUGUCGCAACUAUGGACAUUAAGUUAGCAAAACCAGAAUUGAAAUUUUAUAAAUAUAGUAUGAAGAAUAAACGAAGAAACGAAGUAACGAAGAAGAAAUUGAACGAAGAACCAAAGAAGAACAGCACUCUACGUACAAAGAUUCUCAAUCUAAUAGGGUUUUGUUUUUUAGGUUUAUGUUGGUUUUAAAUUUAAGGGUAUUUGUGUCUAUUUAGGUGAGUUUUCUUCUAUAUUUGAAAUUUUUUAUAAAAACUAACAUUUUUGAAAUUAGGGGUCAAGUUUUGGCUAUUUUUGAUAAAUUCUCAUACGAAGGAUUAUCUUUUAGGUGUGAACCUUAAAACACCAUUGGAUGAGAUUUAUGAUUCGUGUAGGAAAAAAAAAUCAAAGGAAGAAUGAGGAGAGCGAUGUUGAAGAAUAUUGAAGUCCCACAUCAGAAACUUAACAAAAUAAUCAAAUACUCCAUAUAAUGAAUGAUUCCACUAUUAAUAAUAUCGAGACUUUUUGUAUAAAAUUUCACAACUGCUAAACAAAUGGUUAAAUUAAAGACAAUAUUGAUAUUAUUAGUAGUGGGUCAUGAGUCCCGAAUAAUUCAAGGGUCAUGAGUCCCGAAUAAUUCAAGGGGAUGGUUUGAAAAAUUCAAUCUAAUUCUGGCUUUCAAUUACUAGUAUCCACUCGUUUUUCCUGAUGUUUUGAUGUCAUGUACUGUUUGAUUUUCAAACUAAUUAUGGGAUGGUUUGAAAAAUCAAACUAAUUAUGGGAUGGUUUGAAAAAUCAAACUUAGAGAAAGCAACCCUUACUGCCUAGAAAAAGAAAAAGGUUAGCCGGCCCUAACUUCUCGUUAAGGAUAAAAAUUUGAACCGGCAAAUCAGUGAACCGGAACCGAAUCUGCAUGAACUGGCUAUAUUUAUAUCUAGUUUUUAAUUUAUUUUUACAGAUGUCUUGUUCUCAUUGUUUUUUUUUUUUGACCUUUCCUAUUGAAAGGGGCGAUAACAUAUUAAACUCACACACACAACACGGAUGUCUUGUUAUCAUUGUUGAUUCUAUACAAUUAGUACAAAGUAAUUUAACAAACAAAGCAAUUUUCUAAAACGGUCCUCCUUUUUUCUCCUUCUAUGGUUUGGUCCUCCUAAUCUAUUCACGGCAAUACUUUGGGCACUGAGGUGAUUGAGCAUAGCCAUUGACAAUAAUACAAUUUAAAGUCUUAAACUCUAUACUUAGCUUAGGGUUAAGUAUUCCAUUAGUGGCAGAAUGUUAAGGCUAAAUAUACGCUAUCUUAAAAAGUCAACCACAAUUAUAUAUGUAACGCACUAUAAAUAUAAAAUGGGGUUAAUGACCUAAAUGGUCUUUCAACUAUUGCUCCAUUAUCAUUUUGGUCCACCAACUAAAAUUUUCAAUUCAAACGUCCUCAAACUUUUUAUUUUGUACCAAGAUGGUCCAUCCGUGACAGAUUCUGUUACUUCUGAUCACGCGAUGGCCACGUGACUGAGUUUUGAAGGGUAUAUGCAACUUUUUGAGAAGCUUUAUCGAAGGGUAUCACUAAAAUGGUCCAUCAACUGUUGCUUCAGUAUCAUUUUGGUCCACCAACUAAAAUUUUCAUUUGAACUGUCCUUCUACUUCUUUUUUUUUUCUUUUUUUUUUGUUAUCAAGAUGGUCCUACUAUCAAAGUCCAUCAAUUUUAUUGUUAUUUAAUUUUGUAUUUAUCUUAUUUUAAAAUUUUUAAUUAAUUUAAACAAUAGAGAAAUAAAUAUUACUUUUUAAGUCCAUGUCAUAAAAUAAAAAAAGCCAUGUUGGUGGUGAGAUUCAAUUUUUUCAAUUUUAAAAUUAGGUACAAGUUCCUAUAAUAGUUUCCUUUAAUUUUAAUUAUUAUUUUCUCUUUUAAAAAAUUUGUUAUUAUAUAUAUGUGAUUUUAAUUAAUUUAAACAAUAGAGAUUUUAUUAUUAAUUGUUAGGUCAGUGUCAUAAAAAAAAAAAAGCCAUGUGGCUAGUGAGAUUCAAAUUUUUAAAAUUUUUUAAGUUUUAUAAUAGUUUCCUUGAUACCAAAAAAAAAAAAAAGAGUUGAAGGAUGGUUCAAAUGAAAAUUUUAGUUGGUGGACUAAAAUGAUACUAGAGCAAUAGUUGGGGGACCAUUGUGAUCAAUAACCCUUUUAGAAGAGGAUACUCACCUAAAAAUACGGUUUUGUCCCUCGAUUUCACGGAAUAAUACACAGACUUUGACAGAUGGACCAUCUUGGUACAAAAUAAAAAGUUUAAGGACGUUUGAAUUGAAAAUUUUAGUUGGUGGACCAAAAUGAUAAUGGGAGCAAUAGUUGGGGGGACCAUUUAGGGUCAUUAACCCAUAUAAAAUCGUUAAGGGUAAUGUUAUACUAGAUCCCGAGUCUAUGCAUUUAGAGUCCACGCAUUUACCCGUAUUUGACUUCAUAUCAACCAUUACAAAGAUCCAACGACUUAAAAUAUGAUAGAUCAUUAUUACAUCAUAAAGUUUUAUUUUUCUAACUGACGUUACUGUUACCAUUUCCUCAAAGCCUUUCUCCCUUGCUUGUUCUCUUCCCUCUCUAAUCUCUCUCAAUUUUUGCUUCUCAUGAAUAUCUACUACCCAGCAUCAUAAAUUGAAUUUCCUAUUUUUAGUACAAUUUCAAUCAAUUCCCCCAUUGCCAAUUGGUUUUGGAGUGUAACCUCAACUUCCUUCACUUAUGUCCUCAGGCUCUCUCCAGUUUGUAUUGUUUGCUUUUUGGGUUUUGUGUAGGUGAAGGAAGUUGAUAAUUGAGUCUGAGAGCGUUUAUGGUGGCGAGAAAGCUUUGUUUCAAUGGAUGUUCUUUUUUUGCAAUGUCUGUUGAUUUGGCUUCCUCGUUUUUAGAGAGACAGAGUUAAUGGAAGGACUAAUGUUAGUUUAGGGAAGAAAAAAAAAACUAAAUUUCAUAACCGACACGUGGUAUAAAAUGUAGAGAUGCCAUAUUAUGUGAUAUAAAAAUGUGGUAAGACUAAUAUUAUUGUAACCGUAAUCAUAUGAUUCAAACUUGAAACCUCAUUCAACUAAGUGAAGACAACUACCCAAAAAAUCAUAAACUAAUUGACAUAAAAACUAUUUAUUAUAAACAAAUUUUGAAUCCAUAUUUUCUGUUAAAUAUAGAUGUAGGACUAGGGUUAAGUAUUAAGUUGGAUGAUAUUUUUGUCUUUUUACUAUAAUUAUUCUCUCUGCUGCUACGGGAUGGGUUAAGGCCUCCCUUGCUGCUGUGAUUAAGGUGGAUAAGGUGCAUUCUUUUAUCUAUUGGAAACCUCCUCGCCCUGCUCAGUUUAAACUUAAUGUUGAUGGGUCUAGAUGCACUUCCUCUGGAUGUAUUGGGGCUGGGGUUGUGAUUCGUGAUGCUUAUGGGGGCGGAUUGGUGGUUUUUCAGUGCACCUUGGCCACAGACAUAUCUUGGAUGCUGAAAUUUGGGGGUUAUAUUUUGGCCUUAAGCUUGCUGUGACUAAGGGUAUAAGCUGCCUUAUUAUUGAAAUGGAUGCUGCUGUGGUUGCCCAACUAGUCAAGAAUAUUGAUGGUCUGGCUCACCACCCCUUUGCUUUACUGAUUAAUGUUUGCUGUGCUCUCAUGCAACAAUUUGCAAAUAGUUGCACUCUCCUUCAUAUUUACAGAGAAGGAAAUUGUGUGGCUGACGGUUUGGCAAAUUGGAGUUACAACUUAGACCUGGGUAUCCUUUAUUUUAAUGAAGCUCCAAAUGUGUCAUAUCUUAAUUCAUUAGAUUAUUAGAACGAUGGGUAAAUGCACACUAUCUAAAUGCAGAGGCUCAGAAUCCGCCUAGUUUAAACUUUUAAGCUAUUUAUAUAUAUAUAUAUAUUUUAUAGAGAUGGACCAAUCAUAUUGAAUUAAAAAAUAACUAUAGUAUUUAUGAUUCCCUAAACUAUGGAGUAUGAUUAGAGUUCAAAUUUGGUAGAGAACUCCUAAAAUAACUUUUAUGUGUUUUUAGCUAAAUUUUAGACACACAAAACUGACCACAUUAGCCGACCACCUUAUGUGGCAGCUGAUGUGGUCAUGCCAUAUUUUUAUCUCACAUUUCCAUACCACAUAAUGUGGCAUGUCCAUAUCAUAUGCCACAUCAAUUAAAUCAAUAGAGUGUAUUUUAAUUAAGACAAUUAGAAAAAAAAAUACUGGAAUAAAUCAUAAAAGAAAAGAAAAUAUUAAAUACUUUUAAUUGAUGUGGUUAUCCACCUCAGCUGCCACAUAAGAUGGUAUAAGGAUGUAGUAUACAAAUAUAGUAAGAGUAGCAUUAUUCUUUCAAUAUAGUAAUCAUCGUUUAGAGAAAGAGUAAGGCUACACUUACUAUAUUUUUAUACCACAAUCCUAUACUAUAUGAUGUGGCAAUCCACAUAAUUAAGCUGACACGUUAAUAAAUUGUGAUAAAAGGUAUUUAAUAUAUUAUUAAUAAUAAUAAUUAAUAUAAUAUAUUAUUAAUUCAACAAACAAUUUAGGGUUAAGUCUUUAUUUAUUUAUUUAGUUCGCAUAAUAGGGUUAAGCCUUUUAUUGAUGUUCUAUUAUGUUCGUCUCUUUCUCUUGCCAGUUUUUUGGUCGGCUUGUUAAUAAAUCACCUACUGUUUUUUUUUUUUUUUAAAAGAAAAAGAUUUCAUUCAUAAGCCAAAACGGCAUACAAAGACUGACAUUAAUUCAUUAGCCUCAUUAAUACCUUCAUAGGAAAACCACUUAGGAUAAACCCCAAGGUAGGAAAGAGUACCACCUAUGUCAAUGACUAACAAGAGAGUUUGACCCAGACCACAAAAGACAGUUACAAGAACAGAAAAAAAAAUCCAACUAAACACCAACAGAGUGGACUCAACUGUCAAAAGAAGCCUUCUAUGAAAAAAACUCUUAGUCCUUUGACUGCCCAUGAACUGCAAAAACACACCAAGGAUAGAAACCCAAGAGAGCAUACGGAGGAAGAGCACAAAAAAAUAACAAGAGAGGCCCUGAAAAGCACCCCAACUCAACUUAGAACCUGACAAAGAAACUUCUAUGACCAAACAUAGGUCUUCGGGCAGCGCAGAGCAGAGACGAGCUGCAAAGGAGCAACAUAACAAUGGAAAAUGACAGCAAAACAGAACACAUCCCAACAACUACCAUCAGUGUCUGUCGCUGCCAUCAAAACAUAGACAAAACAUUAGCCACCAGGUAUCACAACGCUCCCGAAAAAAGAUCAAAUCCAGCGUCACUACUGCUGCCGUCAUCGAGACAGAGACAACACCAGCCACUUACACCACUGCAAAAACAACUAAAUAAAACAAACAGACCUAGAUCCAAACAUAUCAAGGCUAAAAACCCAAGAUCUAAUUAGAUUUGGGAGGAGAAGAGGAAGGGGAUAGAAGGGCCAGCAAGAGCCCCUAGGAAAGUGGGAAGAGAGGGAGAGAGGAGGAAAUGGAGGGAAAAAGAUGGGAAAAGAGGAGAUGAAGGGAGAUGAUGGGCAGUGGCCACCUCCCAUAGCUUAGGAAAGGGUGGUUGUCGGCAAGGAGAAAGAGGGAGGGUUUUGGCUAGGGUUUACUUUGCUAUCUCUUUUGCGUAGCAAUAAAUCACCUACCGUAGGAGUUGCAUAAAAUCCGAUUGCAAAUCCUAGAACUCCCAAAAUCAGAUCGAAUCGUGGCUUAAUUAGCAUCUAUAUGGUCAUAAACAGAUGAAAUCAUGGGUAUUGAAAAAUGAUAAUGAUAUAUCAAAUCUCCUAAAAUCAUCCUUGUCGGUAGAGAAGUUUCAGCGUUGUUCAACAAUUGAAGAUGAGGGUAACACAUUUAAUUCAUUAAUGAUAAGAGCAUUUUAAUACAUAUAACUUGUCUUCCCUAAAAUUACUCUUGCUAGCAUUUUAUUUAGCUUACUUUGCAUUAAUUAUGUUGUUUUUGUCAAUUGGGGUGUUUUGGAAGAUUUCAAUAAAAAAAUAAGGAUAUUUUAGUGCUUAUUAUUCUUGAAUUUGCACAUGGCAGCAACUUUGGGGAGCCAGCAGCUAGAGGAAAUCAUUCAUGUGUGCAGCGAAUGAAAGGCAAUAGGAAUUAAAAAAGAUGGCAAGACUUGCUACACCUUCUGACCAAGGAAGAAAACCCACGUGCGCGAGCAGCCAAAGCCAAAGUAAUGUGUGCAGCAACAAAUGAAAAAGAAAAGGAAAAAGUAUAAAGAAUGAUGUUGGCUGACAAAAGAUAUGAAAUUCAAAUGCCAAUAUGCCUACACGUGAUGAGCAGAGAAAGAUGAAGAAAAGAAAGAGGAAUGGCAGCAGCAAGUUGAAGACCAAUUGGAAGACAUAUGAUGUACAGCAGCCAAAAGAAGAAUGAAAAUGAAAAUAAUGAGAAAGAAUGUUGAGCUGCAGCUUACACGUGAAGAAAGCAAAGGAAAGCAUGGGUAUUUGUGUUCAGCCAAAAGAAGAAGGAAUAAAGCGAUGUUGAUGUAAUAUAACCCACGUUGGUGAUGGGUUAAUGGCAGCUGCAAGAGGAUCUCAUUCCUCUAUAAAUACAGAGCAAUGCAAUGGAAGAGGUGUGCAGAAUUUGGGCACCAAAUAGAGAUAGUGUAGUCCAGUGGAGAAAAGACCCUGGGGAGCAGAGAGGCAAGAAACCAGGGGCAUCUGCCAUUUUAGUUUUUCUUUUUUAAGUUUUCAGCUAGUUUAUAGGGAUAAGGAAAAUGCCAAUAUAAUUGGAGAGAACCUUGGGGAGUCGUGAGGCAACGAUCCAAGGGAUUGAUGAUGCAGUUUCUCCUUCUCUUCCAUGUUUUAGUUUUAUUUCUUCUUUGAGUUUUCAUAUUGUUUUUAUUUUCACUUAUAUCUAGCUAAACUCCUUUAUUAAGGUUGAGGGGGAAACACCAUUAUGAAAUAAAGUUUUAGUUUUUAUUUUUCAAUUCCCAACUAUUAUAUUCUUCAAUGUUUAUAAUUUCACUUCACAUGAUUAAUAAAUUAAUUUUCUUUUCACCACUUCGAUCGUGUAUUUGUGGUAGUUCAGAAUUUAAGUUAAUCUAUUAAUGCAUCCUUGAUUUUGUAUUACUAGUAUACACAUAUCUUCGAUCAUUUGUAGUUAAAUAAUAUUUUUCACAUAGGAUGUUCAGAAUUUGUACUUAUGAAGGGAAGGGGAAUUUAUAUAAGAGAAUUUAUAUAAGAUUCAUUAAAAUGCAUGUUUAAUUGAUAUAUCUUGAGAAAGCAGUAAAUUGAUUCCUAGAUUGCUACUCCAGAGAAUUGUUAGAUAGAUAAUUAGAGUUUUAUAGAAUAAUGGCGUGUAAUCUAAAACCUUAGUUAUUUUUCUCAUUCAUUUAAUCCAUUCUAGUUAUUAUUUGCAUUUUUAAUUUUUAUGCUUUAUUUAAUUUUCUUUUCAACCAACAAAUCAACUUUGAAUCAACUAGGUUAGCGAUUGAAUUAAAUUGGGUUGGAUUAGUUUCCAUCAUUUUCACACAAGUAUUAUAAAUUUAAAACAACACAUUUGGGUGGACAACAAGUUUAAAGUAUUUAUAAAAUAAAGCAACAUUAUUUAUAGAGAACCAAUAUGAGUUCUUUCUCUUUUCUUGGAUUUAGGAGCUCCUAAAAGUCUCUCUAUUUUAGAAGGUGGAUAGGGAGCAUGAUUGAAGUUGUAUUUUUCAUAUUCCUCUUUAAAAUUUGUCUAAAGAUAAGGGGAACAAGAUUUGUUAUCCCCAAUUUUCAUGUCCCAUUGUGUUCCUUUUUUAAAAUUUUAACACCUGUCUAAAUAAUUGACAAAACUUUAACACUGUCAAGUUUUAUUCAAAAACCCUAAUAAAUAUAAACAUCGUAAUAGCUCUUCUUCUUCACUUUUAAUCUUCUCUUCACAGCCAAACAUAUCCAAAUUAUCUCAAGGAAGAACCACCACAUAGCUACCAAUGCGAAUCCCUUGUAACCAACCAAAAUCGUUCAUCUUUCCCAUAUGGGAUGAGAUUCAGAAGGUUCUUCAUAGCUUUGAAGUUGAUGACGGCGGAAGAAGACGUAAGCACCUUUGAAAUUGCAACAAAAGCAUACUGCAGAUUUUUCUUGCUAGAAGAUUUGAAAUUAAUGUUUUGUUUUUUGUUUUUUUUGUUUUUUUUUUCACAAAAGAUGGUAUUUCAUUCAACCGAAUUAUGGAAAUAUAUAGAAAAAGAAAAAUACAUUAAAUGUUCGGUAUUUUUUUGCUCAAUUAGUGAUUUUGAUUAAGAUUGAAAAGUAUUAUUUAGACAGGUGUCAAAAUUUUAGAGAAUAAGGAGCUCGCAUUUUCCUUACUUCAAGGCCCAACCUCACUAUUUCAUCUUUGAUCGACGAGUAAUUAUCUAUAUAUAUAUAAAGCAAAAGGUAGAGAAUGGUGAAACAUUUAAAUUACCAGAAAAUGUCCAUAGUUAAUGCAAAUAUUAAGAAUUGAAAUUAUUAAUUAAAUGAGAAUAAUAUGGUAAAUUCACAUUUUUCAUAUUAAAAAAAUUAAAAUUAAAAGAAAAAUCAGAUAAUGGAUCCUAUUUUUAUGAAACACAACUACCCAUUAUUUUUUUUAAUUCUAAAAUAAAUUUAAAUUUAUUGAAAAAAAACCUCUUGCAGGCGCGGAAGCGCUUGUGGAGAGGCUAGUAUUACAAUUAUUAACAUAAUCUAUACCACGUUCCACUAACUUUAUACCACGUCUUUUAAUUUGAUUUUUUCCUCUACUGAUUCAGUGUUACUGUAUAUUACAUAGACACAGUAUCAUUAAUAAUUUGACAAUAUUGUACCGAUAUUUGAUAUAUCGAUCAAAUGUCAAUAAUGUGGUACAAAAUAUUGUAAAUUGUUACCAAUUGGUACGAGUACACCAAUUUACAACACUUGAUACAAUGUUAUUGAUAUAAUUAACAUUGUACUAUGUCAACAAUAUUGUACAAAGUAUUUGCAUGGCGUAAUGUUAUUUGCUAAAGAUAUUUCAAAGAAGCUAACAAGGGCAUUGCUUUGUAAAUCAGUGAUCUCAAGUUCGAACCUUAUGGCACAUUUGUAGUAUGUGCGUGAGAACAGAACAUUUGUAGUAUAGUUGGUCAUCCAAAUAAAAUGAAACCAUAGUUAGCCCAGAUAACAAAACUAUUGUUAAGCACUAACAAAAAGCACCUCCAAACUCAAAUCUUUUCACAAAAGGCAAAAUGAGAACAAAAUCUACAUCAAAUAUUUCAAAAUCAACUUCUCAAACCAAAACAUAACUACAAAAGUGAAAAAAGAAUCUAAUCUAGAAAACACAUACCUCACCAGAUGAAAAACAGAGCUUUGCGUGAGAAGAAGGAAUAUGAGAGAGAGAGGGUGUCAUCAUAGAUGAAGCAAAUAAGGAAUAGGAGAGAGAGAUGGCAUCGUUAUGUCGUCGAUGGAGCGAAGAAGGAAGAUGAGAGAGAGGGCGUCGUCGUCGAUGAAGUUAAUAAGAAAAAUGAGAGAGAGAGAGAGAGAGAGAGAGAGAGAGAGAGAGAGGCUGAGAUCUGGUUUUAAACAAAAGGGUAAAAUUAUAUUCCACCUUUAUAAUUUAGACAGGUCCAAUGAAUAUGGGCCUCUUAUUUAGGCAUAUCCAAAACAAAAUUUGAUUCAUAGGUAUUAAAACCCAAACAAAAAUUUCUCAAAUCCUAAUUAGUAAAGAUUGUAAUGCCUAAUACCUAAUUUUUCUUAACUUUUAGGAUAAUGCUAUAUGGCACAUUUUUAAUACCAUCUCACCUGGCAGUUGAGGUCGACAUUCAACUCAUUUAAAUUAUAUGUAUAUAUUUUUUAAGAUAUCAGUUUCUUAUAAUUUUCAUUAAUUCAAAAACUUAACCCUGGAGACUUUUCAAUUUCAUGUUAUCUGUUGGCCUCCCUAAAUUCACUCUCUUCCUUUGCCGUCGAUUCGCCACAUCUUCUGUCACAUUCCGGGAUCGGCUCCGCCGUAGCAUGAUAUUGUCCUCUUUGGGCCCCCCUCUCUGCCCUAACGGUUUUGUUUCUGGCCCCAACUCGCUUAACUUCAGAGUUCCCAUGACUUCGAAGCCAGUGAGCUCCCAAAAGGCCUCGUGCUAGAUGAAGGUGGGCAUGUACAUAUAAGGCACAUCACCCCCUCUCCAUUGGUCGAUGUGGGAUGUUAUAAUCCACCCCCCUUAGAGGCCCGAUGUCCUCGUCGGCACACUAGCACCACACAGCAGAGUGACUCUGAUACCAAAUUGUCACAUCCCGGGAUCGACUCCAUCGUAUCACGAUAUCGUCCGCUUUGGGCCCCCCUCUCUGCCCUCACUGUUUUGUUUCUGGGAACUCACGAGCAACUUCCCAGUGGGUCACCCAUCCUGGGAUUGCUUUAGCCCCAACUCGCUUAACUUCGGAGUUCCCAUGAUUCCAAAGCCAGUGAGCUCCCAAAAGGCCUUGUGCUAGAUGGAGGUGGGCAUGUACAUAUAAGGCACAUCACCCCCUCUCCGUUGGUCAAUAUGGGAUGUUACAGCUCCACUCCCUCCACCUUUAAUUUUUUGUUAGUCCACCUUUGAGCUGAUGUCUAUAGUCUAUGGUCAAUGGUCAGUCCCGGCCCUGCCCAGGGGCAGUUAAUGCGACUGCCCAGGGCCCAUUAUUCAAGGGGGCCCCAAAUUUUUUUAAUUAUGAUAAGUGUUAUAUUAUAUUAUUAUAAAUUGAUUUAAUAUUUUUCCAUAAUUUUUAGGAAUAAGAUAUUGAGAUGAAUCUGAAAUUUUGGAACAAAGGAUCCAUGACGAGAGUUUUAAAAGAAAUUCUUUGAUAUUGGCUUGACUUGCAUUCUUGAAAUUCUUUGACUCACUGGUAUGGUAUCCAUAGUUGGACAUUUGUUUUCAUUAUUUAGGAAUAUGGAAGACAUUGCUCAAAGUCUAAAAGUAUUUUCAAAUAAAUACUUUCUCAAAAAACCCAAUGCUUAGUUGAUAAAACAAGAAGUAUACUAGUAUUAGUGAUUAAUGUGUAUAUGGCACACUUUAGAUUUUCGCCUUAGGCCUUUGAAAACUCAGGACCGGCCCUAUCAAUGGUAGGGUCAUAACACUGCUCCUUGCAUCACCAGCUCCGACCACCUCUAUUACCUCUCAUAGAAAGAUGGAUGAUGUUGAUCAUGAUAUGGGUCUUGAUCAAGCAGAUUUGUAGUUGUGAUAACAUGUGUACUGACCAAAAAGCCAAGGAGGAGAAAGCCUUGCAACGGCGAAGAGGCAAUGGAUCGGCUACAUAGGUCUGGCAGAGUGUCGCCGAUGGAGAGGAGAGGAAGUAGGGAGAGAUGGAAUUGGGGGAGGUCGACAAACAACGUGAAAACUAAAGAGUCUCUAAUCCAGUAGGGUUAGUUUUUUUAAUUAAUGAAAAUAAUAAGAAAUUGAUAUGUCAAAAAAAAAAAACUAAUAUAAUUUUAAUGAGACUACUACAAAAAUUGAAAUAGACGACGGUGUCUUUGAAAACCGUUUUUAAUUCGACCACAAUCUUUUGGAAUGUCAAACUACGACGGUGAUUAACCGUCGUCUAUUAUUUGUAAAGACGACAUUUUUACUCAAAACUGUCGUCUAUUAAAGACAACGGUUUGUCUAAUAGAACCGUUGUUUAUUAUAUCGAAAGACGUCGGAUUUACUGUCGUCUAUUAAUUGAAAAGACGACAAUUUCUUUAAAUAUUGUCAUCUAUUAACUCUAAGACGACUGUUAUUAAUUGUAAAACUGACGUAGUAAUUUUAAAUUUUAGCUUCUUUUUUUCUUGUUUCCAAUGGUAUCAGAAAUCUAUACUCAAAUAUGCUAUUACCACACCAGACAUAUAUAUAUAUAUAUACUCAAAAAUUGUUUCUUUCAUAAAUAGUAUAUCAAGAGAACAAUAGAACAAAAUAAAAUCUAAAAAAUGAAAGCACUCUAGGGUCGCUAGUUGCUAGCUGCAAGCUACAAGCCUAAUUACAAUAAUACACAAAAAUUCAUAUACCUAAUUAUCCUUUAAGUCAAGUUCUCCAUGUGUAUAUAGAGCAAUACACUCAUCAUCACCAAUUUUCCUCUGCAUUCUAUCUGAACUUCAUCACUUUGUUCUUGGGUGUGUGAGUUAUCUACCUUCUUGCACAUUUUUUCAUAGGCACAAUAAGACACAAGCUUGUACAAAAAAUUAGUGAUUUUACAGCAAGAAAAUAGUUAGGUCUUCGCUCGAAGUGAAAGCCAAUAAAAACAAAACAUUACACCAAUAAAUAAAUGAGGGCCUAUAUAGCAUAAAACAUGGUUAACAUAACUAAUUUAUUAUUAUUAUUAUUAUUUUGAAAAAGAUGCUUUGUUUAAAAAUAAUAAGCACCACAAAAGUGUACAAAAGAUAGUAUUGAAAUAAUUAAUAUUAUCUAAAAUUUAAGCAUGAGAAAAAAGAAUAAAGGGAAACAACAAGAAAAAAAAAAGAAAAAAAAGAAAGAAGAGAAAGCCUGAACACCCCCCUUAGUUCUGCCCAUCAAAGAAAAGAAAACUAUAUAUUCAUUAUUCAUACCUUGUUUACCGACUACAAUUUCUUUUUGUUGGAUCAUAUGUUUACCGACUAUAUUGUAGACCGCUUUUGUAAUAGUACGAGAUGGUAUCAAAAGUAAGCAUGCAUGCAUAUGUCCUGAUUAUUUUAUGUUGUCCAACAUGUAGCACUGGAUGACGGCAAGAAAUCAUAAACAUUAAAUUAACCUACUCUUGGCAAAAGCUAUAACAGUAUAAACGAAAGUAUAUUUGUAUCAGAUUCUUUUCAGCGUACACAACACAGAUUUUGUGUUCGUCAGUCCACAGCUCUUGCUUGAUUCUAGUGUCUAGUGUGCUGAGUGGAAAGAUGCACAGCUAGUUUAACUUGUUGUCCACCCAAAUGUGUUGUUUUAAAUUUAUAAUACUCGCAAGCAUACAAAUCGACUGUAGAAUAGGCGUGUAUAAGUGUGACAGGAAGUGUGUGAAAAUGAUGGAAAACUAAUCCAACCCAAGUUAAUUCAAUUACUAACCUAGUUGAUUCAAAGUUGAUUUGUUGGUUGAAAAGAAAAUUAAAUAAAGCACAAAAAUUGAAAAUACAAAUAAACUAGAAUAGGGAUUAGAUGAAUGAGAAAAAUAACUAAGGUUUUAGAUUUCACACCAUUAUUUCAUAAAACUCUAAUUAUUUAUCUAACAAUUCCCAUGGAGUAACAAUCUAGAAAUCAUGUUAUUGAUAUAAUUGAAAAUUUUACUCUAUCAAUAAUAUUGUACAAAGUAUUUGCGCGGUGUCAUGUUAUUUGCUAAAGAUAUUUCGAAGAAGCUAAUAAGGGCAUUGCUUUGUAAAUCAGUGAUCUCAAGUUCGAAUCUCAUGGCACAUUUGUAGUAUGUGCGUGAGAAAUCCUGUCUUUCUUGUAAUUUAGACUAUCGCUUAAUUGUAUUUGAAAAACUUAGAUAUUUUGAAGAAAAUAGAACAUAAAUUAAAAGGGGAAGAAAAGCGUAGUUUAUAUAUAAUAACAACACAAAUGACACCGGAUGCUUUACAUGAGAAGAGCACAUUACUACUGCUAUAGUCGAAACCGAUCCGUACAUCACAGUGACAUUACAAGAAAUUAAACACACAUAACACAUCUCUUAUUCUACGUAAUGACAUGAACUUAGCAAGCUAGUCAUUCAUGCAUGCAUGAUCAGAGCUAGUCAUUCAUGCAUGCAUGAUCAGUUUCAGUUGGGAAAUGGAAGUUUGUGAGGUGGCUUGACAGGGCCAGUUGGGGGCUUUAGUUUCCUCGGUGGCUUUGAUGGGUCUCUUCCACCCUCCACCACAUUCUGUUCAAGAUGGCGAUCGUGAUGAGGUGGCUUGUCUCCCUUGCCCUUAGGAGGCUGAUCAACUGGCUUGGGCUCUGGCUUGGGCUCUGGGAAUGGCUUGUGCUCAUCAAGUGGGGUUGGUGGCUUGGGUUUUGUGGGUGGCUUCGGCUUCUUUCCCUGAGGAGGCAAUUUCCCAUCCAAUGGCUCCUCUAGCAAACGAGUUCUGGUUUCUUGUUUGUGAUGAGGCGGUUUCUCACCCUUUGGAGGCUGAUCAACUGGCUUUGGUUCUGGCUUGGGCUCUGGCUUGGGCUCUGGGAAUGGCUUGUGCUCAUCAAGUGGGGUUGGUGGCUUGGGUUUUGUGGGUGGCUCCGGCUUCUUUCCCUGAGGAGGCAAUUUCCCAUCCAAUGGCUCCUCUAGCAAACGAGUUCUGGUUUCUUGUAUGUGAUGAGGCGGCUUCUCACCCUUUGGAGGCUGAUCAACUGGCUUUGGUUCUGGCUUGGGCUCGGGCUUGGGCUCUGGCUUGGGCUCUGGGAAUGGCUUGUGCUCAUCAAGUGGGGUUGGUGGCUUGGGUUUUGUGGGUGGCUUCGGCUUCUUUCCCUGAGGAGGCAAUUUCCCAUCCAAUGGCUCCUCUAGCAAACGAGUUCUGGUUUCUUGUUUGUGAUGAGGCGGCUUCUCACCCUUUGGAGGCUCGUCGUUGCCCGGGUUUCCUUUGUGCUCUGGUGGUGGCUUCUCUCCUUUUCUUGGUGGCUCAUCUCUUGGGUGUCCUGGUUCAUGCUCAGGUGGUGGUUUCUCUCCUUUUCUCGGUGGCUCAUCUCCCGGGUGCUCAGGUGGUGGCUUCUCAUCCUUGUGAGGCUCAUCACCUGGUUUCUCCUUUGGUGGUGGCUUUUGUCCCUUAGGAGGCUCAUUGUUCUCUGGUGGAGGCUUUUUUCCCUUUGGAGGCUCAUUGUUCUCUGGUGGAGGCUUCUUUCCCUUUGGAGGCUGGUCAUUGCGCUCUGGUGGUGGCUUUUGUACCUGGGGAGGCUGGUCAUUGCGCUCUGGAGGUGGCUUUUCUCCCUUGGGAAAUUGGCCCUCCACCUCUAACAAAUGGUGUUCGUUGUGGGGUGGCUUGUCAACUGGUGGAGGCUUGUAAAUUGGGGGUACGGAAAUUGGAGGCUUGUAGAUUUGUGGCUUUGGGUCAUGGUUAUCAGCAAGAGAAGGAGUUGUGGUGGUGAAAGCCACCACUCCAAGAAGAAACACUAGCAAGUAUUUGGAAGACAUCUUUGGGCUCUUAGAA